AAAAUUUUACCUUUUGUUUUCGAGAUGGAAGUCAUUAGUUGGCUUUACUCAUUGAACAAAGGAAAUGUGAUUCAUUACACCUCUUGCUCCACUUCUUCUUCCACCAGACGAAGGCUGUUUGCCCGGGCUUAAUUCACCUUAAUAGCCAGUGCCCUUGUCAGCCGAGGAAACGGGCAGAAUUGCAUUCAGAUGCAACGUAGAAAUUCUAGAUGUCGGACUAAAUUUCCCAAGAAAGUUCGAGGUACCAAGAGGGGAAACCGCUUAUGGAAGAAACAAAAGCGACCGAGACGACUGACUUGUUGGAGUCAUCGCUCUGUGUAAAGGAUUGGUGGGACAUAACGAGUAUGAUAUACAGUUCUCCACAAAACGCGUGGAACCCCACUAGGCUUGUUUUAUUGGCUUUGGCAAGUGCAGGUGCGUGCUUCGUUCUAGGAUUUCACUGGGAAGCAUCCUUCUGCAGGCAUGACAGGCCACCGAGAUAUAAAUCUCUGAACAUCCAGAUUCAGCUCAGGCUCACCUCUGCAGCAGAAAACUCUUCUUCCUUCCUCCUGUUCCCGUUCGUGAGAAGAUUAAUUCGAGCAAUCCGAGCUUAAUUUCCAAGGAGUGUGGUGUUUCAGAAGAGCGAAGAACCAUGGUCUUCAAGUUUUAUUCUGUCGUUCUGACCGAAGAUCCCCCCGAUUUUGAACCGCAAUCGCCGCUGGCUUCUCGGACAUCAAAGAUUUGUCUGACGCUUAAUCGUGCUGGCUGCAGUUUCAUCAAAGCUGUAACAUCCCGCCAGGUCGCUGCUGGUGCUUCUCUGCGCUUGGCCAAUUCAGCUUCCAAGUUUGGUUGCUGGAGGCCGAGCGAAUCUUUCCAAUGUCCAGAGGAAGGACGCCUUAAAAGGUUUACUUUCCGCGAGCUGAAGGUCGCUACCAACAAUUUCAGUGAGACAAAGAAGGUGGGUGAGGGUGGGUUCGCUUGUGUGUACGAAGGAGUCCUGGGGGACGGCUCCGGAGUGGCAAUAAAGAGACUCAAAGAACGAUUGACGUUCCAUGCUGAAGUGAAAUUGGGGACCAUGAGCUGGCAUCGGAAUCUGAUUCCAGUUCACGGCUUUUGUCGGUCAUCAAAACAUGGAGAAUACGCCCUCGUGUACCCUUUCAUGGUGAACGGAAGCCUAGACUCCUUCUUAAGAGGACAGUCAACAGAGAAGUCCCCACUUGAUUGGCCCACUAGGAAGAAGAUAGCAAUUGGAGCAGCGAGAGGUAUUUCCCAUUUGCAUGAUCUGAGGAUAAUUCACAGGGACAUUAAACCCCAUAAUAUACUGUUGGAUGAGGACUUCGAGGCUCGUAUCGUAGAUUUUGGGUUGGCCUUGUUCAUGGACGAGCACAAAGAGAAGCCUGUUUUCGAAGGAGAACCCAGCGGUGAAGACGCUUGUUUUACCGACUGCAUAAUGGGAACGAUUGGUUACAUAGAUGCAGAGACAGCUUUUUGGGGCAGAUAUUCUGUAAAGAGCGAUGUUUAUGGGUUUGGCAUGACGCUUCUUGAACUGAUAAGCGGUCGAAGCGCUCGCCAAACAACCUGCCUUGACGGAGACGAACUGGCGCUGCCUGAAUUGGCACGUGCCCUUCUGAAGAACGAACAGCUGGAAACGAUAAUUGAUACCAACAUGCCCGGGGGCUAUGACGGGAGUGAAGUCGAGAAAGCCAUUCGUCUGGCUCUGCUUUGCACGCAACUCGACCGCACAAGACGACCUUAUAUGGCUGAAGCAGUCCUAUUUCUCGAAGGAAUUAUUAGCUUGGAGAAAAGAUGGGAGAAGUAUGACCAGGAUGAAUUAGAGAAGUCUGUACGCGGAGGUGGAUUAUCUGGCCUAACAAAUCUCUCAACUUGGUCUGUCUCUACUUCUUGUUCAGGGGAAGAUGAAUCACCUGGUCCUAGAUGAUCCUUUCAAGACCGUGUUGCUCGAGAUUCACUCGUGAGAUUGUGGCUACCUCAGCUUGAGCACUAUACUAGAUACCGAUGAAUCUUUUUUUGUUUAGUUUGAGUGUAUUCAUUUAUUUCAUUUCAUCUAAUAGAUAAUAUUCUUGUUAUGUUUUACCUUAAAUUUGAUUUCAUUUUUUUUUUUAUCAAAGCCCACCAAAUAUUGAGAUUAGCUUGACCAAAAAAAUUCGAUCUAAAUAAGAAUAUUUUGUUGCUCGGACAUCUUUUAUUACUAGAAUGUAACAAACUAAGACAGGGCUCUUAGUUUAAUCCUCUUCUCCUGCCAAAAUAUUGACAAUGAAAAGAACAACCGGUAAAUUUAAAGAUCUUCGUCGGGUAAGCGCGAUUUGUUCUGCUUGGGAGCUCAUGCCUUGCUAAUAGAUUUAAUCGAGUUCCCGGCUCGUGGCUUUGAAGAAGAAAGUUCAAGGGAAGCUGGGAUUUUCGCUCCUUACAAAUUUACUAUCUAAUCUAAACCUUCUCGAAUAAAAUUUAUUAUUAUGAACUUUUCUGGUCGGAAUUUUUUAUUAUUAUUAUUUAGACUGUGCAUUUUGUGUACUUGCUCACAAAACAAACGUUCUUUUCUAUUUAAUAACGUAAUCUCAACUUAUAUAUAUAUAUAUAUAUAUAUAUAUAUAUAUAUAUAUAUAUAUAUAUAUAUAUAUAUAUAUAUUUAUUAUGUGCGCCUUUUUGUUCUCCAUCUUCUCUUCUCGUUCUGCGGCUUCUCUCGCAUUCGUCUCACCACCUUCGUCAAAUUUCCUCGCCUCUUUCUCCAAUGAUUACACCACUCAAAGCUUCCAUCAUGCGCACCUUCCUUCGCAUCUUUUGAUCUCGGGGUGGUUCUCUGAUGGCUCGAGUUGCGACUUUAUUUCCUUCUAAUUUUUGCACUCAUUCCAAUUUGCUUUUUCCAACUUUCUGCGUGCAUGUCGAUGAUAAUCGCGGAAUGAUGUUCGUGAUGAAAAUGGUGGCGUUAAGUUGCAGCCACAGAUCGUCAAGAAACCUCGAGCAGUCUCAUCUGAAACCCAAACUUAGAAUAUUAGGAUAGCCCAGACCAAAUCCCAUAAGCCAUUCGACACGUCCACUGGUUGGUUUUUCUGCUUAGCAGAAACAGAUAUCCAUGGGGUGAUUUCUCCUGCUUUGUCAAGUACUUUUUGCGCCAAGCGGAAAUGGAUACCCAAUCUUGAGAUGUGGAGAUCAGAAAUAGUUUAUGAGACUAUGUCAAGAUUGUUCCUUUGGUCAUAUCAAAAUACGGAUUCCUCGGCGAAGGGUGGCGUCCUGAUUCACCACAUCCAUUUUGCGGACGUUUCAUUCAUAAACAGAAGGCCAGGCAAAAGAUUAAUUGAUAUUGUAAUUUACUGUUUUUACGGUUACCGUAAAAUAAGGUUGGUCUAGGGUGAGAUAGAAUGUUUCUUAAUUAGUCUAAUAUGGGGCUGGCUAGUGUUGACCGAGUUGAGCCUGGCCCGUAAUGAGGGGGCCUGGCUGGAAACUCUAUAGAUAGUGCUCAAGUCUCUCAUCUAACCCUAAUUCUCACAUGUAUCCUCACCUAAGGGGCGUUUACCUAACGCUAAACGUGAGGGGGCCGCCUCAUUGAGUUAGUGAUACGGAGGGCAAUAGAGGAGAAGGACUUGAUGCGUGGAUCCCCUUGAUGAGUGGGUAAUCCCUUUUCUGCUUUCGCUUUAUGUUCGAUGGAUCCCAAACAAGUACGUUAAUCUUUCUAUUCAAUUAUGCAUGUUCUUGUUCCAAUUAUGGAGAUCUUGGGUUGCGCGAUUUGUGUCCAACAUGUGGUAUCAGAGCCUCCAUAACCCUAGAACUAGUACGCAUAGGAUUUUGCCAUAAUUUGAGAUUUUCGAGAUUUUUCAUUUAAUAAAAAUUAAAUUAAAUUAUAUAUUCGGACUGGCUCAACGAGACGAAAAAAACCAUAGGCGGCGCAUCGCCAGAGGAGGCCGCACGUGCCCCCAUGCGCGGCCACGCGCCGCUUGGGCGUCGAACAUGCACCGCGUGUGAGCUCCAUGCGCAGCGCACUUAGGCGGCGCGUGUGGGCGCGUGGAGCCUUCGUUCGGCGCGUGGGUGGUGGCAUUGGAUUCGUAUGGCCAUCCCCUAUGUUAUGGUGUAUUUAUUUUAUAUGUUUGAUGAUUUUAUGGGUGUGAAAAUACAUACAAAGCCCUAAAUACGUGUAUUUUUAGUAUAUUUUUGCGUAUUUUUCUUGUAUUUUCCGUGUUUUUGGAAAUAUAUGUGUUGGGUUACUGAUAUCUUAUCACAUAAAUAUUAUACAAGUGUGAUUCAUUAAUAAAAAUUAAAUUUUAUUAAAUUUUAUUAAUGAAUAAGGCGGUGUAAUUAGCAUGGCAUGUAAUUUUAGUGAUAUAUUUUAGUGAUAUGAUGUCCCUAUCACUAAAGUUAAAAUCACAUGUAUAUGGUAUAUGUGAGAUGUAAAGAUUAUAUCCCUAGUAUGAUAGAGUUUCAAGAAUUCAAUUGAGUCGUGACCGCCAAAGUGGCAUACUUGAUUGGGUUUGAGAAAUUUCGAUCUCGUAUAUUGAUUAGGAUAUCUCCUGGUCUAAUGCAUAGUCAUACUCCCAAAGGAGAUGAUUGUGUAUUAGUUCAUGGAAGGAUACAUGAUGGUGUGGUGGAUGAGUGACUGAUCCUAAUGGUUCAUAUGCCCAAAGGUGAUGAAUUCACGAAGAUUGGAAUAUAUUCUCAUAACCGCUAUCAUGUGAGGAGUGUACAAUUGCAUGUCAUGUAUUCUGCCCAAAUGUGAUUAUGUGAUUUUGCAUGUAACUCUCUGGAUAUGUACUUGUACAUCAAGUUACACAAUGCUCACAUGAUGUUAAUUAUAUACAUUGCUUGUCUUUCAGUCACAUUUUCUGUAAAUGGUAACUCCGUCACUAUUGAGGUUCUUGCUGGUCCAAACUUUAAGAAAUUGAGAGAAGAUCUUAUGUUUGCUAUGGAGAUGGUAGAUGUUCAUAUGACUCUUACUAUUGAUCGGCCGGCAGAUCUUACUGUUGAGAGUACAGAAGCUCAGAAAGCUCAUUUUACUGCCUGGGAAAAGAAUAAUAGAAUUUGCUUACUGUUGAUGAAGCGUUCCAUUCAGGAACACUUGAAAAAUGGUUUGCUUGCAUUGCUAGGCAGAUGAUGGAAGCCUUGAUGGCUAGAAAUCGUGUCUCGCCUAAUGCUGAGAUAGGAAUACACCUGCAAACACUAUUUACUAUGAAGUAUGAUGGUUUUGGUGGAGUUAGAGAUUAUGUUAGAAUGGUGGAUUUGCAGACAAAGCUUAAGGCUCUCAAUGUUGUUAUUCCUACUACUUGUAUAGUGUAUCAAGCUCUAAAUAAUUUUCCUCCUGAUUUUUGGAUUACCAAGACCAAUUAUAGUUUCCAAGAUGAAACCUGAUCAGUUAGUGACCUAAUUGCAAGGCUGGUGGCAGAGGAAGAAAAAUUGAAGAAAGAUAAAGGACACAUUGCCUUUUAUGCUUCUAAUUCUGGCAGUGAUAAGGGAAAGAAGAUGAAAACUUAUACUCAUAAGGGCAAUUCUAAAGUUGCCGGACCUUCCAACAAUAAAGGAAAUUUUGAAGGUGCUGGACCUUCUAACAGUUUGGGCCCCAAGAAAGCAGUCACUAAGAAAGAUGAUGUUUAUUGCUAUUUUUGCAGAGAGAGAGGACAUGUAAAGAAACACUGCAACAAGUUUAAGGCUUGGUUGUCUAAGAGAACCAAGAAUGAGUCUAAAGGUAAUGAUUCUUUGGCAUUUGUUUAUGAAUCCAAUCUAUCUGAAGUUCCGACCAAUUCCUGGUGGCUAGAUAGUGGUGUAACUAAUCAUGUUGCAUUUACCAUUCAGGGGUUCAUAAAUUGAAGGACGCCAAAUCAGGAUGAAUCAAAGCUCACUGUUGGAAACAGCGUUGGAGUUGACGUUGAGUUCGUGGGAGAUGUUAUUUUGAUUUUAGAUUCUGGUUUUCGGAUGGUGUUGAGAAACACUUUUUACGUAUAUUCUAUUAGGCGGAAUUUAGUUUCUGUGUCUUGUUUGGACAUGUGUGGAUACUCUUUUGAAAUAAAGAGUAAAACUAUUUCCAUGUUUUAUGAUUCAAAUAAGAUUGGGUGUUGCAAUUUAUCCGAUGGAUUAUGUUGAUUGAGUUUAUCUCCCAAAGACAUGUACGUUGCUUAUUCAGCUGAAAAAGUUAUUUCCAAAAGGCCUCUACCUAAGGAACAAUCUUAUACAUUGUGGCAUAAACAUCUUGGUCACAUCUCUAAAGAAAGAGUAGAAAUGCUUAUAAAGGCUGAUAUCUUGCCUACUCUUAAAGGUGAUCUAGAGACUUGUGUAGACUGUUGUAGAGGUAAGAUGACUAAGAUAAAGAAGAAAUCCGCCGUACGAAGUUCAGACUUGUUGGAGGUUAUUCAUAUUGAUAUUAGUGGACCAUACACAGCUACUUUAUGAAUAAUUUUUUAUUUUAUCACAUUUAUUGAUGACUAUUCAUGAUAUGGAUACUUAUACUUGAUUAAAGAAAAGUCCAAGUCUCUUGACAAAUUUAAGAUUUUUUGGACUAAAGUGGAGAAACAGUUGGGAAAAGUUAUUAAGAUUGUUAGAUUUGAUUGUGGUGGUGAGUAUUUUGGUAGGCAUGGAGAUGCUGGACAACUUAAAGGGCGGUUUGCUAGAUACCUAGAGGAUUAUGGGAUAGUAGGUCAAUUUACUAUGCCUGGAAGUCCUGAACAAAAUGGUGUAGCUGAAAGAUGCAAUCGUACUCUUAUGGACAUGAUGAGAAGUAUGAUUAGUAGGACCAAUUUGCCUAAUUUUCUGUGGGGUGAAGCUUUGAAAACAGCUCUUUAUAUUAUAAAUCGCGUUCCUACUAAAGCGGUUCCAUUGACUUCUUUUGAGUUGUGGACUAGACGUAAACCUAGCUUGAAUCAUCUUAAAGUUUGGGGAUGUCCAGCAGAAGUGAAGUUAUAUAAUCCAACAUUGAGUAAGCUGGAUUCCAAAACUACUCGAUGUUACUUCGUGUUUUACCCAGAUCAUUCAAAGCGGUAGCGGUUUUAUAACCCUAAUGGAGGUACAAGAAUUGUAGAAUCUCAUACUGCAAAAUUUCUGGAAUUUGAUGUAGUUGAAAAGGGUAGCUGCUCACAAGCUAUCGAAGAUGAUAGUAUGGUGGGGAUUACUAGAUCCUUGUCUCAUUAUGUACAGACAAUUAUGGAGCCUCUUGUGCCAUAAACUGAGCCUAUUGUGACACAGGAUCCUAUUGAUGAGAUUGUUCUUGAUGAAAUUCCUCAAGCUCCUCAAAUUUAGAAUGAGGUUGAAGUAGCUCCACUCAGAUGAUCAACUAGGGAAAGGCGUUCAGCUAUACCACCAGACUAUGUUGUCUACCUAAGAGAACAUGAUUAUGAUAUUGGUUGUAUUGUUGAUCCGAUAACUUAUAUGAAUACCAUCUCAUGUCCUCAAUUAGAUUUGUGGCUAGAUGCGAUGAAAGAUGAGAUGCAAUCUAUGAAACACAAUGGUGUUUGGGAGCUUGUUGAAUUGCCUGAAAAUUGUAAACCUAUUGACUGCAAAUGGGUAUUCAAGACUAAAAGGGAUUCCAAAUGAAAGAUUGAAAAGUUUAAAGCCAGACUAGUAGUUAAGGGUUUCACUCAAAGAGAAGGAAUAGAUUAUGAAGCAACAUUUUCUCCAGUUUCUUCUAAAGAUUCCUUUAGAGUGAUCUUGGCAUUGGUAGCUCAUUUCGAUAUGAAGUUACACCAGAUGGAUGUUAAGACCGCUUUUCUAAAUGGAGACCUUGAUGAUGAGGUUUAUAUGGUGCAGCCUGAAGGUUUUGCAGCAGAUGACUAAGGUAAGCUUGUUUGUAGAUUGAAAAAGCCUAUUUAUGGCCUUAAGCAAGCUUCUAGACAGUAGUAUUUCAAGUUUCAUAGUAUUGUCACUUCAUUCGGAUUUAUUGAGAACAAAGUAGAUCAGUGUAUAUACACCAAGGUCAGUGGGGGGAAAUAUAUUUUUCUCAUACUUUAUGUAGAUGAUAUUUUGCUUGCUAGUAGUAACAUUGGUUUACUGCAUGAGACAAAGCGGAUGUUAUCGAAAUUUUUUGAUAUGAAAGAACUUGGUGAGGUGUCUUUUGUUUUUGGCAUUGAGAUCCAUAGGGAUCGCUCACGCUGUUCAUUAGGUUUGUCUCAGAGGGCGUAUAUUGAUUGCAUUUUAGAAAGAUUCAAUAUGCAGGAUUGUAAACCAUGAAUUGCUCCUAUUGUUAAGGGUGAUAAAUUGAGUCUUUCACAAUGCUCUAAUUUAGAUUUUGAGAAAGCUCAAAUGAAGAAUGUACUUUAUGCUAGUGUUCUUGGAAGUAUCAUGUAUGAUCAAGUUUGCACUAGGCCAGAUAUUGCUUUUGCAACAGGACUUCUAGGCAGAUAUUAGUUAAAUUCAGGACACAAUCACUUGGUUGCUGCCAAGAAGAUUUUAAGGUAUCUAAAGAGAACAAGAGAUUAUAUGCUGAUUUAUAGACAUGUUCCAGACUUGCAACUAGUAGGGCAUUCAGAUGUAAACUUUGCCGGUUGUUAAGAUGAUAUGUGAUCAAUAACAGAAUACAUAUUUAUGUUAGUAGGAAGUGCAGUAAAUAAAGUUUUAUGUUAUCUUUUACUAUGUAAGCAUUGUUAGUAAUAUUCUUUUAGGCUGUUACUUGAGCCAUUAGGCUCCGGAACCUCAUGAAGGAGUUGCAUGUUUUUAACUUUAUGGAUAGAUCCAUAUGGUUGUAUUGAGAUAACAAAUUUGUACUAUUAUUUAUUUACUACAGAUGUCUCAAGGGAUCUAAAUAUAUGACGGUCAAAGAUCUUUGACCAUAAAGAAACGGUACCGAAAUGUGACGUUAUAAUAUGACAUAUUUCCACAGAUGAUAUGGUUGCAGAUCCAUUAACUAAAGGCAUACGUCCAUGUAUAUUUGAGCGGCAUGUCAUUAGCAUGGGCCUAGGAGUAUCAUGAGAUGUUAUUGUUUAGUAGGAGCUAUUUUGGCUUUACUCUAAUAAAGGUUUCAUCUGUGAUUCGUUACACUUUGUAACGGUUUGAUAUGUAUCAACUUUGCAUUCAAUAAAAUAUUUUUGAAUGUGUUGUUAUUAUGUUGAAUACAUAUUGAUAAAGUCUCAAGGUACUGUAUAAAUCUUGAGUGAAGGCUAGGGGCAUCUGGUUAUUAGCCUUGUCCAUAUGUAUAACAAAUGUUAACCGUAAGGACAAUACAUAUGUGGGUUCAUGGAGUCAUAAAGACAUUUUCUAGUAACACAAGUUUUUUGUGUUGCCUAAGGUAAGAGAAUGUUGACUGACAAAUAGGAUUUUUCUAUGAGAGAUGUUAUCCAUUUGCCACACUACCAUAUUGAAUCUAUAUCAAUAAAAUUGAGAGCACUCGUGAUCAUAGAAGGCUCUGUGUGUAUACAUGCAGUUACUGCCAUGAUUCAGUAUUUAAGACUUUAUGGGAUAUGAUUGACUAUUAAGAAUUAUCUUUGAACUAAAUAUGCGCACAUACAGUACGAUUUCAAUUAAUAUAGUCCAAGUGGGAGAAUGUAAGAGUUUUUCUAAUGUGGACUACAUUAAUUGAUAUUGUAAUUUUACUGUUUUUACGGUUACCGUAAAACAAGGUUGGUCUAAGGUGAGAUAGAAUGUUUCUUAAUUAGUCUAAUAUGGGGCUUGCUAGUGUAGGCCGAGUUGAGCCUGUCCCGUAAUGAGGGGCUUGGUUGGGAACUUUAUAAAUAGUGCUCAAGUCUCUCCUCUAACCCUAAUUCUCACAUGUAUCCUCACCUAAGGGGCGUUUGCUAAAUGUGAGGGGGGUCGUCUCAUUGAGCCAGUGAUAUGGAGGGCAAUAGAGGAGAAUGACUUGAUGCGUGGAUCCCCUUGAUGAGUGGGUAAUCCCUUUUCUACUUUCGCUUUAUGUUCGAUGGAUCCCAAAACAGGUACGUUAAUCUUUCUACUCAAUUAUGCAGUUCUUAUUCUAGUUAUGGAGAUCUUGGAGUUGCACGAUUUGCGUCCAACACCCCAAUCUUGAGAUGUGGAGAUCAGAAAUAGUUUAUGAGACUGUGUCAAGAUUGUUCCUUUGGUCAUAUCAAAAUAUGGAUUCUCGGCGAAGGGUGGCGUCCUGAUUCACCACAUCCAUUUUGUGGACGUUUCAUUCAUAAACAGAAGGCCAGGCAAAAGAUUUCAGAGCAUGUGUUGAGCAUUUGAGUGGUGCGGAUAUGAUCAUGUGAGUCUCAACGCAUAGGGACAGCGCUUUUGCCCAAAGAAAAAGGAAAAUAAGGAGCGGGAUGGUUCACUACGUCGUCUUCAAAUUUGCAGGUCAGCAGAAGAAAAUGGCAAGGGCCCAACAAAUCGAGAAAGACAAGCUAAGAAUUGCUAGUUUAAGCUUUCCGUGCUCACCUACAGAUACAACGUUAAUGUUCUCAAUAUCUAUGCGACGGGUUUGAGUAAUCUGAGCUUCAAAUUUCCUUCAGAAGUCCAAAAGCCAAACCAUGGUCUUCAAAUUCGACACUGUUGAUCUCACUGAAGACCCUGCCAAUUGUGACUCAGACUCCCAUAUGCUUCUCGAUCAUCGACGAUUAUUCGGCUGAGCAACAACUCCACAGAACGAUUAACUGGGAGGAAGAGAAGGGUGUUUCCAAGGAAGCCAAUUUCUUUAGCCUCAGCUUUCUUAGCACCGAAACAGGCUAGACAUAAGAUUAUCUCGAUCCAGAGUACUCCAACAGUGGGAAGUGUUCAGUGAAGAGCGAUAUCUAUAGUUGUGGGGUGAUCUUCUCGAGCUCAUCAGCGGUUCUCCAGGGCUGCUGCUGCCUGAAUGGGCAGGCGUGCUUUUUAAAGAUAAAGAGUUGGAAAGGUUAAUCGAUGCUGACAUAAGGAGUGGGCAUAAGGAAAGCAAAGUCAAGAAAACCAUUCUGCUAGCUCUACUUUGUGCGUAACUUGACCAGAAAGACAAUCUAAUAUGGUGGAAGUAGUCCAAAUUAUUGAAGGGGCUAUUAGCUCGGGGAGGUGGGAGGAGUACCAAAAUGAUGGCAGCCCAAACUUUCAUAUUAACAUGGCGGACUCUGCAUCUUCUCUUCGUCACAGAGACUUAUCAAUACCACAUCCCCGAUAAUAGUUCCAUGGAGUUGUUGCUAGGCUGAAAGAUCGCCGAUGAGAGUGUCCUGAUCCCGAGAAUUACAUCACUUCUAUUGUAUCCUGGUCGUAUCCUGGAUAAUGAUUGUGCUGCUUUUAUGCUUUUCCACAUAUGUUCAUUUGUUGAUUCUUUGGUUGUUAUGCAGCGAGACACUUCAUCCAUUUUCUUUGGCUAACACCCACCCCAUGAUAUGUUCAAUGAUUAAUGAAUCUCCAAGAUGUUGUACUUCCGCACCUGUCUCUAAAAGGCAGCCUGUUGGGCUAGAUUGAGCUGAAUAAAAAAAAAAGAGUACACUCCGUCAAAGGGAAAAUCAUUGAGAUAAGCUAGGAUUCAUGGACUCAAUACAAAAGUUCCCAUGGUAAUUCAGAACUACCAUAGCUUUCAUUAGAAAUGCAGCUAGAGAUAGGUUUCCUCAUAUGAAGUAACGUGAUUAGUUCCAUUUGAUUCCUUCCUUGAUUUGGAAGGGCUUAUGGAACAAUUUCCUGGGAUUGUACUGAAUCUGCACUAAUUGAUUGGAAUCGGUGUAAGAGAGAAUUAAUAAGGAAAUUUAUGCAAGUUCAAUGACUUGAUUAGACAAGUCAAACGUACGAGGACUUGAUUGGAAAAAAGAGCAUAACUUCAGUAACGAAAGUAAAUUUUUUACCUUUCGUUUCGAUAUGGAAGUCAUUAGUUGGCGUUACUCAUGGAACAAAGGAAUGUGAUUCAUUACACCUCUUGCUCCAGUUGUUCUUCAACCUGAUGAAGGUGGUUUGACUGGGAUUAUAAUUCACCUUAAUAGCUGUUGUCGGUGUCAGCCGAGGAAAUGGGCUGAAUUGAAUUCAGACGCAACACAGAAAUUCUAUAUAUUGGACUAAAUUUCCUAAGGAAGUUCGGUCCCAAGAGGGGAAACGGUUUGGGGAGAAGCGAAAGCCACCGAGAUGACUGACUUGUUGGAGUCAUCUCUCUGUGCAAAGGGUUGGUGGGAGAUAACAAGCAUGAUAUGCAAUUCUCCACAACGUGUGGAACCCCACUAGGCUUAAUUUCAUUGGAUUUGAUAAGAGCAGGUGUGUGCUUCGUUCUAGGAUUUUACUAAGAGGCAUCCUCUGCAGGCAUGACAGACCACCAAAAUAUAGAAGCGUGAAUAUCCAGACUCAGCUCAGGCUCAUAUCUGCAGCUCUUGUUCCUUCCUUCUUCUGUUCCCGUUUGCAAAAAAAUAAAUUCGAGCAAUCCGAGCUUAAUUUCGGUGGUGUUUUAGAAGGGUGAAGAACCAUGACCUUCAAGUUUUCAACGAUCUAUCUCACUGAAGAUCCUCCCAAUUUUGAUCUGCAUUUGCCGCCUGCUUCUGCAGUUUCAUCAAAUCUUUAACAUCCUGCCAGGUCGCUGCCAGAGCUUCUCUGCUCUUGGCUACGCCAGCUUCCAACUUUGGUUGCUGGAGGCCAAGCGAAUUGAUCCCGUGUCCUGAGGAAGGACGCCUUAAAAGGUUCACUGUCCACAAGCUGAAGGUCGCUACCAACAACUUCAGUGAGACAAAGAAGGUGGGUGAGGGUGGAUUCAGUUGUGUGUACGAGGGACUCUUGGGGGACGGCUCCAGGGUGGCGAUAAAAAGACUCACUAGACAUCCCGCUCUGGGAUUGAUACUCCGUGCCGAAGCAAAAUUGGGGAACAUGAUUGGCAUCGGAAUCUGCUUCCCGUUCAUGGCUUUUGUUCAUCAUCGAAACAUGGAGAAUACACCCUCGUGUACACUUUCAUGGUGAACGGAAGCCUAUACUCCCUUUUAAGAGGACGGUCAAAGGAGAAGUCCCCACUCGAUUGACCCACGAGGAAGAAGAUAGCAAUUGGAGCAGCGAGAGGGAUUUCCCAUUUGCAUGAUCUGAGGAUAAAUCACAGGGACGUUAACCGCGCUAAUACACUGUUGGAUGAGGACUUUGAGGCUCGUAUUGGAGAUUUUGGGUUGGCCCUGUUCAUGGACGAUUACAAAGAGAAGGCUGUUUCCGAAGGAGAACCCAAUGGUGGAGACGCUUAUUUCAUGUCCAGCACAGUGGGGACAAUUGGUUACCAGGAUCUAGGGAGCUUUACCGGAAGAUACUCAGUAAAAAGUGAUGUUUAUUGGUUUGGCAUGACGCUUCUUGAAAUCAUAAGCCCUCGAAGAGUUUGCGAAACAACCUGCCUCGAUGGAAAUGAACUGGUGCUGCCUCAAUUGGCGCAUGCCCUUCUAAAGAACGAAAAGCUGGAACUGCUAGUUCAUACCAACAUGCCGGGUGGCUAUAACGAGGGUGAAGUCGAGAAAACUGUUCGCCUCGCUCUACUUUGCACGCAAUUCAGCCCCAAAAAACGACCUUAUAUGGCUGAGUCCUAUUUCUCGAAGGAAUCAUUAGCUUGGAGAAAAGAUGGGAGGAGUACCAAACUGAUGCCACGACGCAAUCUGGGAAACCAAACUUGGAUUUGAGUUCGAGCGACUCUACUUCUUGUCACGGUGAAGAAGAAUUAUCUGGUGGUAGAUGGUCCUUCCAGGAACCUGUUGCUGGAGAUUCAGCCGUGAGAUUGUGGUCAGCUUGGGCAUCGGAUGGAUUAAUCUGUUGGUUCUGGUGACUUUUGCUUUUCGUUUCUUUUUCUUCUCCUUAUUUUGGAGUGAGGAUACUACGUGUUUUACCAUUUGGUUCAUCCGUCUUGCUCUGGAUAAUGAGAUUGUAAUGCAUAUUACCUCUUUAGUACUUCACAAACCCAGAAAAAGUAGCGCCUCGAAUUUUUUGUGUUCAAACUUAACCGGUUAUUUGACGCGAUCGAUUUAGAUCAAAUCGCGUGUGAAGGAAUGGUGGUGCAACAGUACCACAAUAAUUUGAUGAUACCUGCCCAUCUCAACUUCUUUUAGCUCUCUCUGCUUUUUCAAAUUAAAAAAAUAUGAAUUUUAUUGCAAAUAUACUGAGGGAGGGAAAUAAAAGAGGGAGACUAUUGGGUGUGACUCAUUCUUUUUGACAAAAAAGCACGGGAAUUCUGCUCCCCGGUGAGCAGGCAGCAGUUCAGGGGCCGCCCCAACGAGGCCCUUAAGAUGUCAAAGGACUUUAAUUUGGGCCCGUAUUUUAUUAGUAAUUUAGGUUUGUGCUCAUAAAAAACUGUAGAGUUUAAUUGAGAGUUAAAACGAUGAUGUGAUAUGUGCUAAUUAUAGUGAAGUUUUCUACUCGAUGUAGCCCUAAUUUAAGGUGAACAAGAUAAAUCUCGUGUCUCGAUUUUUCUUUCUUGCCUUACUAUCUAGUUUGUUAUGUUUGUGCCCCUGAUUCUAGCAAUAACAAGGUGUGGUUUUUUCUGUUCACGUAUAGCAUUUGAUGGUUACAAAAAGUGUAUAUUCAUUUGAGCAUAUACUCGUAUCGUAUUUUAGUAUAACUAUUCUAUGAAUUAUCGAUUGCAAUUUUCUCAUAUAGCCACCUAAACGCUUCCACACUAGACACAUGGUAUUAAAGCCACGUCUCCAUACCCCAUACUCAGUAAGGAGGUGCCCCGUGUACAGUAGAGGGGAUCCUGGGAGAGAAGCAUGCUAACCGAGAGAUCAAAACAAAAAGAAAUGUGCUUUGAAAAUGGAGUCCUCCUAGCAUUCAUUAUUGGAAAGGGCAAUUUAAAUUUUUUGGUACGGUGUGUUUUCAGCCAUUCUGGGUGUGGAUUUAGCUUCCUGGUUCUGAUUAUCGUUGUGACGGAUUUGAGUAAAUCUGAGCUUCAAUUUUCCUUCUAGGAGUACAAAAGCCGAACCAUGGUCUUCGAAUUCACCACCAUCGAUCUCACAGACAGUCCUCGCGAUUUUGACUCCGACUUGCCACCUGCUUCUCAAUCAUUGAUGGUUUGCCUACUGUAUAUUCAUGGUUGCAGUUUCAAGAAACCCAUAACAUCCCUCAGGGUGCUGCCAGGGUUUCGCUGCGCCUGACAAUUCAGGCUUCCGAAUCCGGUUGUUCAUGUUGUAGACCAAAUGAAUCUCUCCAGUUUCCUAGUUCUGAUCUGGAGCUCCGGCGAGGACGCCUUCAAAAGGUUGCUUUCGGUGAGCUACAGGCAGCUACCAACCACUUAAGCGACGAAAAGAUUGUGGGCAGGGGCGGGUUUGUUGCACUGAAGGUGGUUGCUCAUGCUUCCUCAGCAUUGUCCUUUCCCUUUCUUUGAUCUUUUUAAAAGGUUACUGUGAUUUUGAAGUGAAAACGAGAAACUCUUGCAGGUACAAACGCCGGGCUUCCCUAGGGACUUUUACAUGCGUCGGCAACAUGACCUGCUGAUCGUAGAUCCUCAUGUAUGCUGUUUUAUGUAGGCUUUCUUCCUUGUAGCUGUUAUUUGAUACUGCCUACAUGAUCACUUUCAAGAAAAUUUUGUAUUUCAGGGGCAUGCCUUUGGUUUUGCCCAUAAAAUGCACGUCUACUCAUUCUGUAGCAUGCUCAUUUGUGAUUAUUUAUCCCAUGGGACACUCCGGGUAGGCAUAUGACUUUCCUAUUCAUGGUUUGCUCAAGUCAUAACUUUUCCAGAAUAUCCCUUGAAUAUAACAUGCAGGAUGCCAUAUAACUCCUGUUUGGUGAUUGCCAAGACCAUGGAACAGAACACUUGAAAUUUUUUUGGUAGGCUUUAUUAUUUAUGCGGAGAACAGAAAUCCCUGGCUCUAGCAUUAGGGCACCUUCAUUUAACAAGCGAAUAACCUAUACCAUUAAUCAUAAUGCUUAUCAUUCUAAUACCACUGGCCUUCAGGAUAGCCCGGGAGAAAUCCUAGGACAUGCGAUUAUAGUCCAAUGAUUCAAUUUCAAGAUUCUUGCACCAUGACUAUAAGAAAAUAUACUCCUGUGAUUUGACGUCAAUCUUGUCAUAGUAUUUUACUAUCUAUACACCAAAAGCAGAAAAAUGUGUCACAAAACUGAUAAAUAUCAUCGGACAAUGAUAGAAAAGUGAAGCAUCCAAAAAAGCAAAAAGAAAGAUUUCUCUCUAGGAUAGCUUCCAAUCCGGUAGUUAGUGCCCUGGUGAACUGCAACGUCACGGAAGAAGAAGCAAACAUGCAAGAGGAGAUGGUUAGUAACCGACCUUUGAAUGUACUCAGGAGCCCUGUGCUCGAAGUGAGUACCACCACCAGGGAACCACCACAGCUGAUUAAACUCAUGGACCCAAUUUUGUCCUCCUUUCACUUCAGCAAGACGCGCAUGAUUCACAUUCGUCCGCCAGACAUAAUCCCUGCUGAGUGGCCAUCUUAUUGGUAUCUUAUAACCUUCUGGUGUAGGAACCAAACAAAACAGAUGCUUUUCAGGUGGAGGGCAAUGCCUCUCAGGCUCUUCCCUUCACGAUAGAUUUAAUGUAGGCAGCAAUUCAUUCACAUAGUUUACAUCAUGGCAAGGGAUAUAUUCAUUAAAUGUCAAUGGGCACACAUUCAUCCCAUUUUCGGGGAUCACAAGAGGUACUUUUCUGAAAAUGAGUUCAACUUUGUCUGAAAAUGCUGAUGGCCCUGCAAAUGUCAAAACGGAAAAUUGAUGCAAUUUCACAGAAUUAAGACAGCGAGAAUCCAAAUUCAUCAACUUCAGUUCAAGCUGAACUUCCCUGAACCCCAAGAUAACUUCUAUAACAUGAAAGAUGAUGACAUUCCAGGUUAGUGACACAAGAUAUAGCUCUAUCAAGCUCUGAUGAAGUAGUAUCUUAAAUCAGUUACAACAAACUAACAUAAAUCGGCAGUCGAGAAAACAACUUUAAAGAGGGGAAGAGGAUUAGGUUGCAUAAUCAAAGCCAUCCAUCCAUAACAGCUCUGUGGAUGCCGCAUGAAAGAUGCGCUGGUUUCAUUAAUUAAUCACCAGCUCAAUUCUAGAAGGCAACUUUCCCAUGAGCUGCUGUAGAGCACGUUCUCUAGGUUCCUUCACUUUUUUCACCCCGUCCGUGAUAUAUUCUUCCUCACAGGGAUUCACCACUAACUUCUCCAGAGCAAUGGCGUUAUCAAUAAAAUAAUUCACUAGUUCCAAAUCGCAAGGUCGACCAUAAUAAUUAUUAAAUUCCACCACCUUUAGGAAUUGAUGGGGAGGUCCAACAACUCUUUUAAGUUCUCUCGGACUGCAAAGCAUGUCCUUCGGGUAUAUCAACUGUGGAAAAAGAAGAAUGCCGCAUAUGAGUAACAAUAACGGCAUUGGGAAAUGCUCGUAGAAGAAAGAACUCGCGGAGUAGAAAAUUUCUGUGUGGAUGGUCACAUCUAGUAGAUAUUAGUCACAUGAUGUCACAACGACUCACCGAUGAGAGAGACUCCAACAAGAUUCAACAGUGACUUGGUUCAUUAAAUUUGAUCCUACCACAACAAUCUAAUGCCUAAAUAGACGAAGACUUGAGUGAGGCCCGAAAACCUACCUCUACUACAAAACUCCGCAAGCAGGGAAAUGCCUCAAUCAAGGGAGUCAACGGAAGUAGACUUGAAUCUCCAUAUCCUUCAAAUCUCAGUUCCAAUUGCUUGACGCUUGUAAAUUUAGGCAAUUGACGUCGAUGAAGCCGUACUCUUUCCUGCAUAUUGUAGAGAGAUAGAGAAUCAAAGGCAGCAUGGAUUGUAAUAAGGAAAUAUCCAUAAGGAAAUAACUUAUGAAACCUUAGGAAAGAUCAGUCAGUGCUCUUACAGGAAAAGGCAUAGUAAAGUAAAGUUUCAUGAUCUGCAGACUAGAAUAUCUUGAAAGCUUAGACAUGAUCAAAUCCACUUGUCUCGCACUAAAUCCUUCAAUGGACACCUCGGACAGCCGGGGGACAUUGUCCAAAUACCAUAUAAUUUGUUCUUCAAAUCCUCUGUAAGUGAAGGACCAUCCUCUGUAAGUGAAGGACACUAGAUUCGUUGUGUCAUAAAUCUCGAUGAGCUGAAGAUCCUUACAAACUCUUAUGCACAAGUAUUUCAACUUCUGUGACUCGCCAGAAACUCUCAACCAUCUCAAGCCACAAGCAUAUUCCAAAACCAAUUUCUCUAAUACUGGACAAGCGGCAAGCAAUUGCUCAAUGAGUUCUCCCUCCACAUUCACUCGAAAUAAGGAGAGCUGUUCAAGAUUCCUACAGCCAACGUGCCAAGAAAUGGAAGGGCUCAAGCCAAAGUUACCAAGACCUGAAGCGCGCCGUGAACACCCUACAUCGGCAUCAAUAAGUAUCUCACGCUCUAACACAUAUGGCAAGCGACUAGGGUCACAAUCAGGCUUAAAAUCGUCGUAACACACUGGCAUGAAAUGUAGAUCGAGCACUUUCACCUGUUUUGCCAAAGCAAACCUAAUCCAGUGAUCAACGUGAGACUUAUAUGAGUUAUUCAGGUCAAAACGUAACACGAAUCUUCGUAGAGAGUGCUCUUUUCCACUUUGAUGAUGCACGACAUUGUCCACCCAUUCCACAUAUCUCGCCCUCUCCUUUUCCGCUUGCUCGGGGUCAUCUCGUAACUUCUCCAAUAAGUCCAACCAGUCGAAAUCAAGGUCGGUGAGAAGAGAAUUAUACAAGUGCCUCCAUCUCCGGGAAAGAACACAAGUCGCUUGUGCUUCUCUAGAUGUCAAUAGAGAUAAUAUACGGUCUAUAACUUGUUCGGGCAAACAGCUGAUUCGAUCCUGGAUUGAGUUUCACCAAGAGCAACAAAAAUAAAUAAAUAAAUAAAUAAAUAAAUAAAUAAAUAAUCUGGGAAUAAGAUGCAGGGAAAACAGGAAGCACGAAAAAUUCAACUACAAACAUACCAAAAGAAAAAAAAAAUGUCUGGCACAACAAGACCGAAUCCCUGGUAGAAAAAACUAGAAUAUAUCGGACACCAACAAAAAAACUCAACAAGGCUAGACUGCACGAAACGAAGAGAGACAGAGAGACGUUACCUUAUACUUAUAGUCAGGUUCGGCUUCGGAUUCAGAGCGGGGACUCUUUGGAGAAGAAGAAUCCAUAGACGCGGGCAAAAUUUACCUCCCGUUUUGGCUUCCGCAGAAACCCUGGGUUUUCCUGCUCCGGAGACACGAAGCAGUUUUCCUGUUUGAGUCCAGACGGUUUUGCCGAUCAAUUCAAAAGAAGAAGAAGAAAGAAGUAGUAAAAGCGACCAAAACCCCUCAAUUUUGCCAAACACUCCAAACUUUUUUUACACAAAAAAACUAUUUAUAAAACACAUUAAUAGUAUCAAAAAAGAAGCCCAAAGGAAAGGAGGGCAAACAGACUAUCAAAAAAGAGCCAAGUUAAGAGACAAGUAAGAAAGCUUGAAGGCACUCUAAGCAGGAGAACCGGAAAUAGAAGCAUCAAGACCCCAACAACGCUGAAGCCUCCUAUUCCUUGAGUUGUCUACCACGUUGCUGUAGGUAAGAGCCUUGUCCUUAAUCACUUUGAUGAGAUUUCUUCAAAGCCGGCAGCUCCAAGGACUCCCCUGAAAGAUGAUUCUGUUGUGCUUCUUCCAAAUCAAGUGACACAUGACACUAAAAGAAAAACGGGCAAUACAAUGAAGAAAGUCCUUGCCGGGAAGGAAUUUCAGUGCCCACAGAAGAUUCUCCGACCAGGACCUGUUUCUCCAUGGAAGAUUAUAUCUCGCAGCCCAAAAAAAGACGAAACUAGCCGAGACGUGACAAUCAAAGAACAAGUGAUCAAUAGAAUCCGGUUUGAGGUUGCAAAAAGCACAAACUCCACUACUAAUUCUACCAUAUGAAAGAAGAAGAACCUAAGUGGGUAAGCGAUUGCGAAUAAUAAGCCAAAGAAUAAAUUGGAAUCUCAGAGCAAUCGAAUCAUUCCAUAUGAGUGGAGCCCAAGGAACACGAUCCUUCUUCCUUCUAAUAAUAUUCCAAGCUGAGGCGAUGAUGAAGACACCCGCAAAGCUUUGAUAAGGAGAAAGUCAAAUAUUCAUUUGUCAGGUCGCAUAUGCUUUUGUAAUGAUACCCAAUAAAAAGUCGACACGUGAAUAUGUUCCGCACUAUGUAUACUACUCUGAAGUUCAUCCCUUCGUGCUUAAAUAACACAAACCUGACGUGCAUAACUACACUAACAUGAUAGCGCAAAGUGGAGUAGUUUUUACAGCUACUGAUUUUUGUAGAGAGAGGAACAAACUCAAGUAAACUUUACACAUACUUCCCCAAAACUACAAAUAAUUGAAGGCAAGACGGAUCCGAUAGGAAGCAACAAGGCAAAUUAAAUCCGACACUUCAGUCGAAAGUGGAGAUCUUAAACGAGCCGUGUUAUGAAUUUUUCAUGCAUAUCAAAACGGCACUUCCAUAACAAAAUGAGCCUCAUUUGGGGUUUUGGGUGAAGUUAUCGAUAAGCUCUCCCAAUGGGCCCAUAGCCUACCAAAAUUUUCCAAGCGAACCGCUUUUGGUGUUAGACCAAAGAAGGUAAAUGGCCAUUCCACUUUCGACUUCUGGAUCUGGUCACCAGUUGCCAAAAAAAUUAAUCUUCUCCUUUUCAUACUCCUGCUCACUUUAAAAUUUGAGUUAGGCUUGCGAAGUGAGCUACACUUUUUUUUUUUUAGCAUACUCGUCUUCAUGGAAACUACUCAAUAGCUUAAUUCCAACAAUUAUCGUGGGAGGAGAAAUUCAUGUUUCUUUCUUCUUCUUUUUUUUUUGUCUCGUCGACAUCCGAUUUUACAAAAUUCUUAACAUAGCAUUUAUGAAAAUAGCAUUUACCCAUUUACGCGUUCAUCGAAUGUAGACUUAUCGAUAAGUUAAAAUUAAUAAGUUGUACUUUACGCGGACUUGCCCAAGAUAAUAUUGUCUCUAGACAAUCAUUUUGCUCGCAAUCGGAGGUUGGAUUCAAAGCCAGCAAGUUGCAUAUCCUAACGGAAAAAAGAAAAAAAAAAAAGAGAGAAAUCGAAAGAACCUUUUAUUACUGAUCGGCCGACAAGUGCAUAGCAUUUGGUUAAUUAUCUAACAAUUAGAUUAGCUAGCGACGCCAUCACUACGGAUUCUAAAUUUUGAACGUUUGCAGAGUUGGCCAAAGCAAUAAAGGACAGGAUAACAAGGGAGAGAAAGAAAACAAAAUAACACGUAAUGAAAAAAUUGGUUAAAAUUGCUAGUAUGCAUUUUUUCUAGGAGCUAAAAAGAUAUUUCAUUCUUCCAAGGGAUAAAAACUCUCACCAUCAAGAUUUUUAUUCACGUGCUCGAUAGCAAAACGCGGGAAACCGAUUGAUGCGUACGGUAAACGCUCAGCAAAGCAAAAUGAAGUAGCUUGGCAAGAACAAUUAAAAAAACAAAAAACAAAAAACAGCGCCGAUCUUUUAUUGGUCUUCUCAAUCGAGAAAUCGUGUGCCUCGUAGAGAAAAGAGAGACGAGGAAACGAGCAGUUUCAAAUCGAAAAAGCCAACUGGCGAACCGGGUUCUUCUCGUCCCAUACAAAAAAUUGGUGCUCCAAUUCGACGAUUUCUACGUAAUUCGUCAGUUUGCAUCGAAUGAAAACAUAAUGGCGGGCAUUUUACGCGUCGAGUAAAAAGUUCGCUCUUUUUUUUUUUCUUUUUUUUUUUCAAUUUUCUUUUUGAAUAGUGAGGAAAUUUUUGUCUGCGUAUAUUUCGAUUAUUUACCGCAUUUGUUUCUGUCCGCUAGGAUAUACGUAUUAUAAAAUAAAAUAAACAAUACUCGAUAGUGGGGCUUAUGAGUAAUAAAGAACUGUUCCGCAAACUUCGAGGGAGAGACUUGUACAUCAUCCUUAAUCGUUUUAAACUACUCGCUAAUUAGUAGUCAAUCUCAUAUUCACGUCACGCGAGUUGUGAGAAUGAUCUCAUUAGUGCGUGUGAUUUGGGGAAAAGUACAAAAAAAGUCAUAAACUUAUUAUAUUGGUAUCAAUUUAGUCUUAAACCUUUUACUAUUAGUACUAAUUCAAUCCACCUGGUCAAUUUUGGCUGGUCGACGCUGAUGUGGACGUCGGUCGGUGGCCGGAUGUUGACAUGACAAUUUUUAUGAUUUUUUAAUUAUUUUUUCAAAAUUUUUAUUAAUUUUUCAAUUUUGGCUGGUCGCGGCCCUCACUCAGCCUCGCCUAGGGCCGCGGGCGAGGCGACUUAGCCCAGAUCUGGGUGAGGCCAGCCUCACCUGCGACCUUGGGCGAGGCCGAGCGAGGGCCACGACCCUCGCCGGUGGCUGGCGAGGGCCGCUCGGCCUCGCCCAAGGCCGCGGCCGAGGUUGGCCUCGCCCAAAUUCGGGCGAAGCCUCCUCAUCGGCGGCCCUAGGAGAGGCCGGGCCAAGGCCGUGACCCUCAUCGGCGGCAGGCGAGGGCUUCGCGGCUCUCACCCAGUGGCCGGUGAGACUCACCGGAUGCUCGCCGGCCACCGCUAGGAAGAAGACAGAAAAAAAAAAAAAAGAAUAAAUUAAUAAAAAAUCAAAAAAAUAAUUAAAAAAUCAUAAAAAUUUCCAUGUCAGCGUCCGGCUGACGUCCACGUCAGCAUCGGCCGGUCAAAAUUGGCCGGAUAGAUUGAAUUGGUAUCAAUAGUAAAAUGUUUAAGACUGAGUUGGUUCAAUUGAAAAAUUUAGGACUGAAUUGGUACCAAUGUAAUAGGUUUAGAACUUUUUUGGUACUUUUCCCUGUGAGUUUGCAAAAGAUAGAUUGAGAUAUUUUCUUGAAACGGCAUUUUGGGCAUAGCUUCAAUUAUUAUGAAAAUCUAACACUGGAGUGAGAUCAAGUUGACUUCGGUCAAUUCUAAUUUCGAUCGACACGAAAUGAAUAAGGCAAUUCAAAAGCGCGAGGUACAAUUCUUAACUUUGGUAAAUCCGAAGGUCAUCCGAUUUUAUAUGGCAAGAACAUCAAUUCUUAAAUAAUCACUAUUGUAUCCAAAGAUCGAUGCGUACAGGACUCCGAUAAUACCGAUCAUGUCAAGAAUUUUUUUUUAAAAUUAUUUAUUUUUAGUGAAACAAAUAUGGCCUAUUAAUCAAAAUCAAGUCCAUCUUUUGACUUUGAUGUUGCCGUUGUAAAUAAUACUUCGUGUCACAUAAAUAAGACUGGAUACUCAAGCUUUUAAUCUAUCCUUUUUAACUCGUUAGCUACAUACAAUUAUUUACAUGCUAUGUUGCAAGUACGCUACCGUUCUAGACUCGAUCUAGACCCACAAAAGUAUUACAUGGCUAAGGGAUUUGAUGUCUAACAUGGAAGGGGGAGGUGAGAGGUUCAAAUCCCCACCUUCUCAGAGAGGGAUGAGGUGGGAACACGUAAGUUUCAGGAGUGGAUUUCGACUCUUACGUCCUGCAAGAGACAUGGCAAAAGUUUGAGAUGGGAACGCAUAAGUUUCAGGAGUGGAUUUCGACUCUUACGCCCUGCAAGAGACAGGGCAAAAGUUUGAGAGUGAGUGUUGAGUAGGAAUAGAGUAGGACUGACAAAAAAAAAAAAAAAUACUUGGUGUCCAUGCCCGUAGCAUUUACCCAUGUGCAUCUUCAAUGUGAUGAGGUUGUAAUACGCGGUAAUUUGACAUAAUAUGCAAUAGUAAUCACCUGCAUGAUGAACUUUGUAUGAAUAGGGUAGUAAUUUUCACCCACGCAUUAGUAUUCUUGUGCGACCCGCUAUAGGCCGCCACAAUGGCCAAUGGACAUCCCACGUCAAUCCAGGAACAGCAUCAUAGCAUGAUCAGGCGAAUAUUUGUACCAAGUGACUUGCACUUUCAUAUAGGCACAUGGCAAUAUUUGCUUUUGAGUACAUUAUCUAGACCCUAACUAGAUAAAUCCAUUCUCUCCUACGUUCAAUCAUAAACAAAAAGGGGGAAACAAAGGAGGAAGUUAAAGCCAAAAACCAGAAAUAUCCAUCGUUCAUGUCCUUGCUGCUUCCCAUAUUGGGUAAAAAUGCAGCAGAGCUAUUUACAUAAUUUAUAAAUCAGGAGCAACAAGAAAUUAAUAGAUCAACGGAAAUCCGCAGUCGAAAAAACAACUUUAAAGAGGCGAAGAGAACUAGGUUGCAAAGUCAAAGCCAUCCAUCCAUGAUAGCUCUGUGAAUGUCGCAUGAAAGAUGCUCUAGUUCCGUUAAUUAAUCGCCAGCUCAAUUCUAGAAGGCAACUUUUCCGUGAGCUGUUGUAGAGCACGUUCUCUAGGUUCCUUAACUUUUUUCACCCUGUUCGUGAUAUAUUCUUCCUCACAGGGAUUCACCACUAACUUCUCCAGAGCAAUGGCGUUAUCGAUAAAAUAAUUCACUAGUUCCAAAUCGCAAGGUCGACCAUAAUAAUUAUUAAAUUCCACCACCUUUAGGAAUUGAUGGGGAGGUCCAACAACUCUUUUAAGUUCUCUCGGACUGCAAAGCAUGUCCAUCGGGUACAUCAACUGUGGAAAAAGAAGAAUGCCGCAUAUGAGUAACAAUAACGGCAUUGGGAAAUGCUCGUAGAAGAAAGAACUCGCAGAGUAGAAAAUUUCUGUGUGGAUGGUCACAUCUAGUAGAUAUUAGUCACAUGAUGUCACAACAACUCACCGAUGAGAGAGACUCCAACAAGAUUCAAUAGUGACUUGGUUCAUUAAAUUCGAUUCUACCGCAACAAUCUAAUGCCUAAAUAGACGAAGACUUGAAUGAGGCCUGAAAACCCACCUCUACUACAGCACUCCGCAAGCAGGGAAAUGCUUCAAUCAAGGGAGUCAACGGAAAUAGACGAAGACUUGAAUGAGGCCUGAAAACCCACCUCUACUACAAAACUCCGCAAGCAGGGAAAUGCCUCAAUCAAGGGAGUCAACGGAAGUAGACUCGAAUCUCCAUAUCCUUCAAAUCUCAGUUCCAAUUGCUUGACGCUUGUAAAUUUAGGCAAUUGACGUCGAUGAAGCCGUAUUCUUUCCUGCAUAUUGUAGAGAGAUAGAGAAUCAAAGGCAGCAUGGAUUGUAAUAAGGAAAUAACUAUAAGGAAAUAACUUAUGAAACCUUAGGAAAGAUCAGUCAGUGCUCUUACAGGAAAAGGCAUAGCAAAGUAAAGUUUCAUCGUCUGCAGACUAGAAUAUCUUGAAAGCUCAGACAUGAUCAAAUCCACUCGUGUCGCACAAAAUCCUUCGAUGGACACCUCGGACAGCCGGGGGACAUUGUCCAAAUACCAUAGAAUUUGUUGUUCAUAUCCUCUGUAAGUGAAGGAAACUAGAUUUGUGUCAUAAAUCUCGAUGAAUCGAAGAUCCUUACAAACUCUUGUGCACAAGUAUUUCAACUUCAGUGACUCGCCAGAAACUCUCAACCAUCUCAAGCCACGAGCAUAUUCCAAAACCAAUUUCUCUAAUACUGGACAAGCGGCAAGCAAUUGCUCAAUGAGUUCUGCCUCCACAUUCACUCGAAAUAAGGAGAGCUGUUCAAGAUACCUACAGCCAACGCGCCAAGAAAUGGAAGGGCUCAAGCCAAAGUUACCAAGACCUGAAGCUCGCCGCGAACACCCUACAUCGGCAUCCAUAAGUAUCUCACGCUCUAACACAUAUGGCAAGCGACUAGGGUCACAAUCAGGAUUAAUAUCGUUGUAACACGCGGGCAUGAAAUGUAGUUCGAGCACUUUCACUUGUUUUGCCAAAGCAAACCUAAUCCAGUGAUCGAUGCAAGACUUAUAUGAGUUAUUCAUGUCAAAACGUAACGUGAAUCUUCGACGUGAAUCUUCGUAGAGAGUGCUCUUUUCCACUUUGACGAUGCACGAAAUUGUCCACCCAUUCCACAUAUCUCGCCCUCUCCUUUUCCACCCAUUCCACAUAUCUCGCCCUCUCCUUUUCCGCCCACUCGGGGUUAUCUAGCAACUUCAACUUCUCCAAUAAGUCCAACCAGUCGAAAUCAAGGUCGGUGAGAAGAGAAUUAUACAAGUGCCUCCAUCUCCGGGAAAGAACACAAGUCGCUUGUGCUUCUCUAGAUGUCAAUAGAGAUAAUAUACGGUCUAUAACUUGUUCGGGCAAACAGCUGAUUCGAUCCUGGAUUGAGUUUCGCAAAAAGCAACAAAAACAAAUAAAUAAAUAAAAAUCUGGGAAUAAGAUGCAGGGAAAACAGGAAGCACGAAAAAUUCAACUAUAAACAUACCAAAAGAAAAAAAAAAUGUUACCCACAACAAGACCGAAUCCCUGGUGGAAAAAACUAGAGUAUAUCGGACACCAACAAAAAUCUCAACAAUGCUAGACUGCACGAAACGAAGAGAGACAGAGAGGAGUCUUCUACCGACCAGAACCAUGCUAAAAAACGAAACUUUAGAGGGAGACGUUACCUUAUCAUCAGAUUCGGCUUUGGAUUCAGAGCGGGGCCUCUUUGGAGAUGGAGAAUCCAUAGACGCGGGCGAAAUUCACCUCCCGUUUCGGCUUCCGCAGAAACCCUGGAUUUCCUUUCGCUCCGAAGACACGAAGCAGUCCGUUUGAGUCAGACGGUUUUGCCAAACACAUUCAUUCCAAUUUUAUACGGUAUAACACAUUUAUUUUUCAAAUUUUUAAACUUAUUUAUGACACAUUUACAUCAAAAAAAAAAUUAGUGUCGCAGAAAAAAAUUGAGAUUUUAAUGUUACAAAAAAUAUUUGAAUUAAAUGUAUCAUAAUUAGUAAAAUUUUGAUAUUUUUGUGGCUUAUUUUCGAAAAAAAAGUCAAAUGGUUUGAAUUUUGAUAAGGAGAAAGUUAAAUAUUCAUAUGACAUGGCAUAUACUUUUGUACUGAAGCCCAAUAAAAAGUCGACACGUGUAUAUGACUAGGUAAGUAUAUAAAAAAAACUUCAAAACUUAACUUCUGUGUUUUCUCUCUCAUCUUCCUCCUCUGGUCUACCGCCAUCUCCUUCAUUCGGUCACCGGCAGAGUCGCCGGUGCAGUGGCUGAUUUUUGAGAAAUGUCAGAUAGCUAAAAAGAUAGCCAGCUUGAUCAAGAACCCCUCCACCUCGAGGCUUAACCAGAACUCGCAGUCUUCGCAGGCCAAGAAAUCCAAAUCAAAGUGCGUUAAAAGGUUAUAAAAAUAUGUUUUAUCCUCAUAUUUUGCAUUGAACUUGAAAAUAAACAAAUACAAAGUGUGGCUUACCCGGUCUCCACUCACAGAAAUACAAAUGUGAAGGAUGCUGCCGCAACUCCUACGGUAGCGCAAGAAAACCAUGCUAUCAAGCGGCAGAAGUUGGAAGGAGGGAAAUUUAGUUGGUACGGCGUCGGUGAUGUGAUGAAGCGACUCAUUUGAACUUUUCUUUUUCUUUUUCUUUUUUUCAUUUUUCAGAUCUUAAAUGUCAAAUCGCAUAUUUUGCAACACAAAUCAAAAUUGUGUCUUGCAAGCGGCACUUCCAAUCAAAUUAGUUUUUGGAGUUAAAGGUUAAAUUUGGAAUUAUGCGAGAUUCAAGUUGCAAAGUUUGAUUUUUGAGUUGUUGAGUUAUGAAAUUUUAUGGAAUGAUAGUUUAGGGUGUUGUGGAGUCAUAAGACUUACCGAUCUUGAUUUAAGCUUACGGUUUGCCCAAAACAAAAUUUUAAAGUGUUCACGUACAACUUUGGGCCCAUAUUUCGUUUGUUUUAGGCUCAAUUUUGGAUGGAUCAAGUUGGAUUCUUGUAGUAUGUUGAAAGGUUUUCUAUUAACUACAAGUAUGUUUGGAAUGGGGUUCAAUAGAGAAAAUUAUGAUGUAACAAAGUUUUGCGCUUAAGUUCCGCAUUGCGAACGGCUUGAUAAUUGGUUUAGGCAUACGAUUUGUUAGUGCGUAGGAGCUGUUAAUCUACGCAUGCGUUGAUGGCUCAUUUCUUCGCCCUGCAUUAUUGCCUUAGAUAUCUGAAUUAGAUUAAGUUUGGUCUUUGUCAGUUAAAGAUGAUAUUUGUUUAUCUCUUGCCAGCUAGCCAUGAUCGGCCAUCUAUCCUUUCAUCUGGAGCAAGCUAUGUGGACACUCAGAGAAGUGGAAACAAACCACAGUUGAAUUGUAAAAGAGUUGCCCACUCCACCACGGAGGAGGACAAAUGCCGAUGCCACUCAAGCAAAUCUUACGCCUUACUGAAUUUGUUGUUGGAUGAAUUGUGCGAAAAAAGAAUUUAUACUAAUAUACACAAUUUCCAAAGCUCAAGCGUUUAUGAUCAUUAUGUAGCGGUAUUCGGAGGAUCCCGGCAUCCUAAGGGGUGCCUGAAUUGCGCAUUCCUCUCGAAACAUAAAGGCGAAUAUCAGACACACUUUGAUCAACAGAGAAUUGCAAUAAAUUCUUUUCCAUUAUAAUUUAUGUUGAGUUUGGAACAGCUGGAGUGUCAUAACUUGGCACAUGAGGAUACUUAACUGCCAUAACUUUAGAAAUGUACAAUGCCAAUUUCGGAGUAAAGUGGAACACUUAAGUGCCACUCCGGCCAAAAUCCGGCUAAAUGGGUGACAUGGCAAUUUUUCGGCGAGUUGGACACAAAACGACGUUGUUUUGCAUGCUGAUGUGGUGAGAAAAUGCAAAAAACGACGUUGUUUUGUGUCUGAUGUAUAAAUAAUUAAUAUUAAAAGUAAUUAAAUUAAAUUAAAACUUAAUUUUAUUUAAAAUAUUCUAAAAAAUAGAAAACUUAAAAUUUAAAAAACUUAAAAUUAAAAAAUUAAAAUUAAAAAAACUUAAAAUUGAAAAAACUUAAAAUUUAACAAAACUUAAAAUUUAAAAAAAAUAAAUUAAAAAACAUAAAUUAAAAAAAUUAAUAUUAAAAAAUUAAUAUUUAAAAAACUUAAAUUUUAAAAAAAUUAAAAUUAAAAAAACGUAAAAUUAAAAAAAAUUAAAAUUAAAAAAGUUAACAUUAAAAAAAAACUUAAAAUUUUCAAAAAACUUAAAAUUUAAAACCUUAAAAUUAAAAAAAAAUUAAAAUUGCCACCUCAGUCGCCCCAUUCGCCCCCCCUUUUUAAAAAAAAACUUAAAAAAAUUAAUUUUUUAAACUUUAAGUUUUUUUUUUAAAUUUUAAGGGUUAAUACCCUAAAAAACCUCAAACUGGUACACUUAUGACAAAUUUAUCACAAACUAUUUUUUUGACUACCAAAAACCCAAAACUGGUACAUAUGUGACAAAUCUACCCUCUGUUAACUUCCGUUCGAUUUUUCCGUUAAUUUUGCUGUCGUGGUUGCUGACGUGGCAAGUCAUAUGAAAAUUCAUAAGUUUAAUACCAUUAAAAACCCUAAACUGGUAUAUUUAUGAAAAAUUUACCCCAAACUGGUAUAUUUAUGACAAAUUUACCCAAAGCUGAUAUAUUUACGACAAAUUUACUCUAAUUAAUUUUUUCGAUCAUAAAAAACCUAAAUUGGUACACGUGCGACACAUUUACCAUAUUUCAAUUUUCCCAAAUUUGACUAAGUUGUGAUGUCCAAUCAAUUUUAUUUUUCGGAUUACUCUAACAUUGCCUCCAUAUCAUUAAUACUUAAUUUUUUUUUUCUUUUUAUUGGAAUCAUUAUUAGAAAAUGUUCAAAGACUACCAAAUGUGCACUUUAUUCUUGUGCCGAGAGGAUGCCCAUUAACUAAAAGAUGGACAGAUCACUUGCACACAUAUACAAAAGAAGUGCACAUAUUGUGAUUGCUUCACUCGUUUUUGGUUUAUGACAAACUUGGCUUUAUAUUUAUAUGUCUCAGCCCCACAUGGUUUAUUACUUGUCCGCAAUCUGUUUGUACGCUUACAUAUUACUCUUACUUUGCUGGUCCUUAUUAGCGUUACGUAGUCUUUCCUACCUUGAAUCGUAAGUGUCAAAAUUUUAAUAUGGAACUUGCAUGUGAAUGGUAUGAGCGACUCAUACAUCACAUGCUCGUUAAAAUGCCAGAACCAAAAUCACUUAUGUUUGUCGCUAAUUUUAGGUGUGCUUUGAGUGUGAUUCUUUUGUAUAUUUGCACAAAAGAUCUAUCCAUCUUUUAGUUAAUGGGCAUCUUCCCGGCACAAGAAUGAAGUGCACAUUUGGUAGCCUUUGAAUAGUUUUGUAAUAAUGAUUCCAAUAAAAAAAAAUCAAGUAUUAAUGAUAUGAAGGCAAUGUUAGAGUAAUCCGGAAAAUAAAAUUGAUUGGACAUCACAACUCAAUCAAAUUUGGGAAAAUUGAAAGAUGGUAAAUGUGCCGCACGUGUACCAAUUUAGGUUUUUUAUGAUCGGAAAAAUUAAUUUAGAGUAAAUAUGUCGUAAAUAUAUCAGCUUGGGGUAAAUUUGUCAUAAAUAUAUCAGUUUGGGGUAAAUUUGUCAUAAAUAUACCAAUUUAGAGUUUUUAAUGGUAUUAAACUUAUAAAUUUUCACAUGGCUUGCCACGUCAGCAAAAUUAACGGAAAAAUCGAACGGAAGCUGACGGAGGGUAGAUCUGUCACAUAUGUACUAGUUUGGGAUUUUCGGUGGUCAAAAAAAUAGUUUGGGGUAAAUUUGUCACAAGUGUACCAGUUUGGGGUUUUUUAAGGUAUUAACCCUAAUUUUAAUUUUUUUAAAAUUUUUAAGUUUUUAAAGUUUUUUUAAAUUUUAAUUUUUUAAAUUUUAAUUUUUUAAAUUUUAAAGUUUUUGAAGUUUUUUUUUUUUAAUUUAAGUUAUUUUAAUUUUAAUUUUUUAAAAUUUUAAGUUAUUUUAAUUUUAAUUUUUUUAAAAUUUUAAGUUAUUUUAAUUUUAAUUUUUUUUAAAUUUUAAGUUUUUUAAGAUUUUUAAUUUAAGUUUUUAAAAGUUAAUUUUUUUUUAAAUUUUAGGUUAUUUAAAUUUUAAGUUUUUUUUUAAUUUUAAGUUUUUAAAGAUUUUUAAUUUAAUUUUUUUAAAUUUAAUUUUUUUAAUUUUAAGUUAUUUUAAUUUUAAUGUCAGUGCCACGUCAGCAAUUCCGUUAACUUUUUUGACAGUGUUAACUUUAGGACUAAAUUGAACCAACUUGACAAGUUUUAGGACUUGAUUGCACUUUUUGUAAGUUUUUGGACUCAAUUGCACUUUUUUGACAAGUUUUAGGACUUCUGCUGAACAUAUCCCAAUUCAUAAUUAUGUGAAAUUCAAGUCGCGAAGUUUGAUUUUUUAGUUGUUGAGUUACGAAAUUUCGUGGAAUGAUAGUUUAGGGUGUUGUGAGCCGUAGGACUCGACAGAACUUGAUUUAAGCUUACGGUUUACCCGAAAUAAAAUUUUGAAGUGUUCACAUAUGACUUUAGGCCCAUAUUUCGUUUGUUUUCGACUCGUUUAUGGGUCGAUCAAGUUGGGCUCUUGUAGUACGUUGAAAGGGCUUUCUAUUAACUACAAGUAUAUUUGGAAUGGGGUUCAGUAGAGAGAGUUAUGACGUAACCAAAUUUUGCACUCAAGUUUUGCAUUGCGAUUGGCUUGAUAAUCACUUUAGGUAUACGAUUUGUUAGUGUGUAGGAGUUGUUAAUUUACGCAUACGUUGAUGGCUUGUGGAUCUUCGCCCUGCACUAUCGCCUUAGAUAUCUGAGUUAGAUUAAGUUUGGUCUUCAUCGGUUAAAGAUGAUAUUUGUUCAUCUCUUGCCAGUCAUGAUCGGCCAUAUAUCCUUUCAUCUCUGGAUGGUUAUGCGGCAUUGUUCACAUAAACAUAAAAAUUGGCAAAGGAGAAAAAGUGAUGUACCAUUCGCUCGGAGUCGUGAUCAACCCUGAAAUGCUUGAAGAAACUAGGUAUUCUGCUUGCAUCCUCCAUGGUUGUUGUAGUGUUCUUCUUUGGGCUUUGAGCUGUGUGCGCCUGGGAUCCUUAAGAGGACGUGAUGAUGAGUGGAAGCCAACAUGCAUUUCAGAGGGUUUCUAUUGGUUGAUCAGAGAAAGAACAUUGAGUGUGGAGAAAAUAUUGCAGAGAGAAGAUAAGAGUCAUUAAUGUAAAAGUAACGUAGAAAAGCGGAGAGGGAGUUUCUAUCUUCGUUGAAAUGCAUUCAUUUUGCAAUUUUCCGGAGCUUUUCCCUUCUCUCGCAAAAGGCUCUGUGCCAAUCUUUUUCUGCAAAAACCAGUCCGAUUAAGUCUAUGUGUCAAAAUUAUGUGCAUUCGAUCAAACAAACCCAUAUGCGCCAUACGAACGAAAAGCACAAAGGAGGACAAAUACUGAUGCUGCUUGAGCAAAUCUUCGUAGGGUGGAAGUAGCUCUGGAUUUGUUAUUGGAUGAAUUGUGCGAAAAAGAAUUUAUACUCACAUAUACAAUUUCCAAAACUCAAGUGUUCAUGAUCAUUAUGUAGCAGUAUUCGGAGGAUCCUAGCAACCUGAGGGGUGCUAGAACUAUGCACUCCUCUCAAAACAUGAAGACAGAGAUCUUUGAUCAAUGGAGAAUUGUAGUAAGUUCUUUUCCUUUUAUUACUUUUCCAUUAUAAUUUAUGUUCACUUAUAUAAAUAUAUUUUGCUUAUUUCAUGAACAGCGAACACUUCCUACUGAACACCUUACUUGCUGCUAUGAAUGAGAUAAGGAACGGGUCUAAUGGGAAUCAAGAAAUGGACUUGUGGUUGGGAAUGGAGAGGUUCUUAGGGCUAUUGCGGGGGCUACUUGUGUGGCUAAUUUGAGGGCUAAUGUGGGGAUGGUGGGUGCUAUAGUUGCUAUUGUGGGUGCUAAUGUUAGGGGUUAAUGUGAUGGCUACAGGGGGAAUGUGGGGCCUACUAGGAGUGCCAAUAUGGAGGCUGCUAAGGUUGCUGAUAUAGGGGUUGUUGGAGGAGUGUGGGGGCUGUUGGGGGUGUUGAUAUGAAGGUUGUUGUAGGACUAUCGGUGGUGUUGAUGUGAGGGUUGUUGUGGGGCUAAUGUAUGGGUUGGAUAUGCUGGUAGAGGCGCUGAUGUGGAGGCUGAUGUAGGGACUACCGAGGUGGUGAUAAGGGAGCUAAUGGGGGUGUUGAUGUGCUGGUUCAACAAGUCUUCCGCAACAUAAUUGGAAGUUUGGAUGGAUCAAGUUCUUGACUAUGUUCACUUGAGCAAAGUUUUUAAGGUACGCAUCAAUUGAAUUUGAAAAUGUUGUGAAGUGAGGGCAAGUACUUUUGCAUUUCGAUAUACUUCAUCGCCAAAUAGUUAGCCUCAACUGCAAAUGAUACACAAAUUCUAAUGACGAGCAAGAAGCUCGAAUGCAAGGUGGACAACAUGGCUCGUUUUAGAAGCCUAAUCAAAUCUCCAAAAUAGGGACUCUACAUAGUAAUUAGGCAAUGUGCUAGAAUGAGAACUGAAUUCACAAUAAAAUUAUCUAAGCUACAUAUAUCAAUUUAUACUCAAGUCACCAUAGGCACAUUUUGUUAACAAAAUUUUAUGCCAAAUUCAACAACGGUACUAUAUAUUUUAGUGUAGGUAACAUGGGCUCUAAAGUCUAAUAAUAACAAUCAAUAUGCUUUGGACAAAAGUAUUUCACAGCGAUUAGAGCUCUAAAACUAAUCGGCACAUAUCUACCACAAGCCACACGAAUUGAACUUGGAACAUAACGACAAACUCGAAGCAAUACACCUCUCGAAGAUAAGAUACACAUCUCCAUUGACAACCAAUAGCAUCUUUAUAAAGCUUAAUACUUUUUCAUUGCAUUUCUCGUGUGUAUUUUCACUGAGCAAACUAUUGCUUUAAUUUUGAGAUUGCAAUUCUCUUAAUUCAGUUAUAUUUCUCUCAUCUUAUUCAGCCAUCACCAUUUCUCCAUCUCUCUUGUUGGGAAUGACAACUCUUUGGCUUUUCAUAUAGAGUAUUUUUAAGGGUAUUAACAGUUACGGAAAUAGUGCACGAUGGAAUCAUUCAAGAUUUCCUCCCUCACCAUAGAGGAUGCCUAACGUAAAUACCACGCGAGGGUAUUUUCAUCGGGUGCAAGUAGAUAUAGAUUUGAUAAUGCAUGAAUAUUUACUCUUACACAUAAUUUCGUAAGCGCAAACUUUUGUGAUUAUCAACCUUAGAGGUGCCAAAAUAAUGCGGAGCUCUUAUAAUGUGAAGGCAGAUUUCAGGCACACGAUAAUUAAUUGUAGUGAGUUGUUUUUCAUUUUGUGCUUGCCAAUUGGGGUUUUUGUAUGCUCCUUUAAGUAUGUUUUACUUAUUUUGUAAAAACUUAGUACUUCUUUCUAGAUGACCUAUUGCAAAUCAAUUGAAUGACCCUAAUGGAAACUAGGAAGUAAGGGUCUAUGGUUAGGAAUGGGGUGGUGAGUGGCCCUAAUUGGAAUCGGGAGUAGGGGGCCUAUUGCUGAGAAUGGGGUGGUGAGUGGCCUUGAUUGGAAUCCAGGGGCGAGGGGUUGUUGCUAAUGAGAAACAAGUGGUGAAUGACCCUAAUGGAAAUCGGUGGAAUUGGGGAUUGCUGUGGGGGAAUGAGAGAUGCUGAAUGGGGGCUAUUAUGGUGAAUUAGAGGAGGUGGUGAAUACGGGAGCAAGCGAGAGAAUUUUCAUUGACACAAGCAAACAUGAGUAUAACCAGGCCCUAUUAUAGAGGUAAUUGUUAUGGGUUGACCUACAGAUCUAUCUAGCAUUCCUUUACCUAUAUAACCUUAGCAAUUACUUUCAAAGUUAACCUUACUCGUUCAUAUUUUCGAGAAUUAUAAAAAGAAAAACUCUUAAAAAAGAAGCUCAAAAAUAUAUUUUACUUGUGAGAUGGAUACAAAUAAGGGGAGGAUGCCCAUAUUUAUAAAUAUUAGGCUAAUCAUAACCAUAGAUCUCCUAUCCAUUUAAUGGUAGAGAUUUUAUCUACCCAUCUACCCCAUUACUUGUAUUUAUAUAGAAGUAUACAUUUACCAUAUUGUCUGCCCCCAUGAGUAUUCUAGAAUGUUUGAGAAAACCUAGGACUUGGGAAAUAAUCAAUGAUCACUCAUUCAUGGAUCAGUCACGAUUUCACGUACAAAAAUCUUCUAGAUUGUGUUGCUUUCUUGGACUGUGAUAUAAUUGAUAGAAUAUUAAUUUGAAUAACCAAAUUGUAACAAAAUUGAUUAGCAAAUUAGAGGUUUGAAACAUAGAGACUGAAUUUUUCAUUUAGUUCAUGAUUAGCAAAUUAGCAAAUCGUUACUACUCGGCUAGGUGGAGGCCUACAAUAUGCGGUUGUCGCAAUCAUCUAGGCUUUACAAUAGUGGUAAUAGAUUGAAUAAUCAAAUAGUAGUGGGAUUGAUUGGCAAAUUAGAGGUUUGAAACAUAUAAAAUGAAUUCCUCAAUUAGUUUGUGGUUGUUUUUAUGAUAUCCAUAACGCAACGCUCGGUAAAUGCUUGUGUCUCUCGUUCUUCUAAUAGGAUUAACUUUCAGGGUUAGGGCUUAAAUUUGAAAUUAUGUGAGAUUCAAACUGUGAAGUUCGAUUUUUAAGUAGUUGAGAUAUGAAAUUUCAUGGAAUAAUAGUUUAGGGUGUUGUGGAGCUGACUUUACGAAACUUGAUUUAAGUUUACGGUAACUUGAAGUGGUCACGUAUGAAUUUGGGAUCGUAUUUUGUUAGUUUUCGACUCGAUUUUGGGUUGGUCAAGUUGAGGUUCUUGUAGUAUGUUGAAAUGGUUUUCUAUUAACUAUAAAUACGUUUGGAAUGCGGUUUGGUGGAGAGAGUUAUGUUGUGACCAAGUUUUGUACUCAAGUUCCGCGUUGCGAACGGCUUGAUAAUCACUUUAGGUAUACGUUUUGUUAGUAUGUAAGAGCUGUAUUAUUAACAAUUAGGUGUAACAUAGCGAUUUCAUAAUUGAGGUAGUGUGUUCCUCAAUUGUAACAUUGGUUUUUGCUUAUAUUGUGGGAUCGCGAGUUCAGUAAUAAAAGUAACGUUUGUUAUUUGGUCGUAGGCAUUCUAAGAUAAGUGGUGCUAUUUCUUUUAAGAAUUUGUAAACUCAUUCUUUAAAAAUAAUAAAGAUUUGAUAUAUUAUAAGCUUUGAAUAAGUAUGUUUGUUACAUAAAAUUUAGAUUGGGUGUUUACUACACUUUUUAUAUAUGAAUGGUAUGAAAAUUGUUUGGUGGAAAUAUAUAUUUAGUUCGAUAAAUGGAGUUGAGAAAUAAUAUAUGUUUUAGGUUUCUGAAACUUUUUUACAAAAAGCUCUUGACAUUGAGUAUGAUUUAUGGAAUAUCAAUUUGUAUAAUGUUUAAGGACAUGCUUCUAAUUUGAUCUAGUUUGUAAAACCGCUUACUAAGACAAGUCUUGAAAUUUACGAAAAGUACUUUUAGUGAAUGGGUGAGUUGCGAAAAGUUGUGUAAUUAAUUUGUGAAAUGUAUUUAUAAAUAUGAAACUGUUUAUGGAUUGGAUUUUUAGUAUUGGAGGAUGACGGCUAGGUGCUCAAUAUCACUGGAAACUUGAUUGAGGGUUUGUGUGUAUGCCCUAAAUAGUCUAGGAUAUCCUUAUAGGUCGAGUUAUCGACUAAUAAUAGGUGGAGACCUAAUCAAUAGAAAAUCUUGAUCGUCUUGUCCAUGUGUUAUGCAUGACUAUGACUAGAUAAUUGAGCAUGAAUUUAGUUAAUGGAGUGGACUACUGACAUGUGAUUUGAGUUUAGACAAUAAAAGAGACCACUAAUGCGUAAUUUGAGAUUAGUUGAUGGAAUGGACCAUCGACAUAUCAUUUGAUAAAAUUGAUCAAUGGAAUAAGACCAUUGAUGUUUAUGAUGAUUUAAAUGAGUAUUUUCUAAAUUGUAUAAAGCUUGUUGAAAUAAAAUAACUUAUAUAUGAUUUGAUUUGUAUAAAGAGUUGGAUUAUGAGUUUCUAAUAUUGUUAUAUAUAUUGCUCAAUUUGUUUGGAAGAAACACACUACUCACUGAGUAGUGGUUACUCUCACUGAGUAGUGGUUACUUACUCCUCUCAUUUCAAAUUUUUCAAGUCUCUUAAUUAGCGGCCAAUAGAGCGGGAUGAUAUUUUAUUGGGGACUUUGGGAGUUGAAUUUGAGUGGUUAGAGGUAACAUUCUUCUGGUGGAAGGACAAUUGCCUCAUUUUUUUUUUCUACUAGGAUUCGGGAUGUGAUAUCCAGCUAGCUCUAUUUUGCAUACAACCUGACCAAAAAGUCAACCUAAUAUGAUGGAAGUAAUCCAAAUUCUUGAAGGGGCUAUUAGCUCGAAGAGGUGGGAGGAGAACUCUGCUACUUCUCUCUAUCACGAAGACAUAUCAAUAUCUCAUCCUUAAUAAUAGUUUCAUGGAGGUGUUGCUUAGCUGGCAAAUCGCCCAUGGAAUUGUCUUGAUUCUGAGAAUUACACAACUUCUAUUGUAACAUGGAUAAUAAUGUUGAUACCUAAAUUUUGUUUGUUCAAUUAGGGUUUAAUUAUGUAUGGAUUAAUUUUUAAUCUCUAAAAAAAAAAAUUCAUUAAAUUGCAUAGCAUAUAGAUGUUAGGAGCAUUUGCAUUAAUAUUUAUAGUAUUUAUUAGAAAAAUAUUUUUAAAAAAGGAAAAAAAAACUAAUUAAUUUAAAAAAUGAGGCGGGGUCGGGCUACCUCAGCCCUUUCUUUUCUUUUCUUUGCUAGGCCCAACCUAGGUUCUCUCUUUUCCAUUUUUUUUCUUUUCAACCUAGGCCUGUCCGUCCCUCUUUCUUGCCUGAAAAUCGACAAUCCUUGUUGGAGGAGCCCGCGGUUGGAGUCGCCAUAAUUAGUCUUACUUUUGUCUUGGUGUGCUUAUUCAUGUUUGGUUUGUUGGAAUGGCUUUUGUUUUGCAAUGUGCUUUUUUGGCGAUGUCGCUGGUGAGACCGCCCAAAGAAGAAGGCGACCCAAAGCAAAAGAAAAGGGAGAAAAGAAAGAAAGAGAGAAAGAAAUAAUAAUCAUAGGAGAAACAAAAAUUCGGAUCAAGUGAGCUGGUCAAGGUGGUGUGGCUAAAGAAUAGAAUGGGCCUUUUUUUAAGUGUGUGGGCUGAAUGAUUUUUAAAAGAAGACGGGCUUGAGAUAGCUUCUUUUGAGGAAUAUGGGUUUGUCACGGUUCUAGUCACGUUGAGCUUUAUUUGGUUUAAAUAGACUCAGGUUGAAUUGUUGUAGAGGCUCAAACCCAUCAAAUUUAGGUCAGGCCAUACUCGAACUGGGCCCUGGGCUGGUUGGGGUUCAAACCCAACCCGGACCGAUAGGGUCCAGGUCAGAUCAACAAUCAGACCGGUCUCUGACCCGACCCGAGUCCCAUUUUCCAGAAUUAAAAACAUUCAAAAAUUAAUUUAAAAAAUAGGGUGUGUGCCCACUUAUGUUCAUUUAUUGAUUAUUGAUUCUUUGGUUUUUAUACAGAAAGACACUUCAUCUGUUUUCUUUGGCUAACACCCACCCCAUGAAAUGUUCAUUGAUUUAUGAAUCUCCAAGAAGUUGUAGUUCCACACCUGUUUCCAAAAGGCAACCUCUUAGGCUAGAUUGAGCUGAAGUAAAAUAAAUAAAUAAAUUACGUCGAAGGGAAAAUCUUUGAGAUAAGCUAGGAUUCGUAGACUAAAUGCAAAACUUCCCAUGGUAAUUCAAAAUGAGAAAAAGCUUUCAUUAGAAAUGCAAGUAGAGGAAGUUUUCCUCAUAUGAUGGAACAUAAUUAGUUACAAUUGAUACCUUCCUUGAUUUGGAAGGGCUUGUGGAGCAAUUUUCUGGGUUUAUACCAAAUCCUAUGUCUGCACUAGCUAAAUUAAUUCAUAGGAAUCAGUGUAAGAGAAACUUGAUAAGGAAAUUUAUGCAAAUUGAAUGACUUGAUUAGGUAAUUGAAAUGGACAAGACUUGAUCGGAAAAAGAGCAUAACUUCAGAGACAAAAGGAAAAUUUUCACUUUCGUUUCCGAGAUGGAAGUCAUUAGUUGGCUUUACUCAUUGAAGAUAGGAAAUGUGAUUCAUGACACCCCCUGCUCCAGUUCUUCUUCCACCAGACGAAGGUUGUUUGCCCGGGCUUAAUUCACCUUAAUAGCCGGUGUCGGUGUCAGCCGAGGAAACGGGCUGAAUUGCAUUCAGACGCAACCUAGAAAUUCUAGAUGUUGGACUAAAUUUCCCAAGAAAGUUCGAGGUACCAAGAGGGAAAACAGCAUAUGGGAGAAGCGAAAGCGACCAAGUCGACUGACUCGUUGGAGUCAUCGCUCUGUCCAAGGGUCGUUGGAAGAGUACAAGCAUGUUACGCAAUUCCCCGCCAGACGUGUGCGGGUGCGUGCUUCGUUCUAGGAUUUUACUAGGAAGCAUCCUCUGCAGGCAUGACAGACCACCAAAAUAUAGAAGCGUGAAUAUCCAGACUCAGCUCAGGCUCCCCUCUGCAGCUCUUCUUCCUUCCUUCUUCUGUUCCCGUUUGCAAAAAAAUAAAUUCGAGCAAUCCGAGCUCAAUUUCGGUGGUGUUUUAGAAGGGCGAAGAACCAUGACCUUCAAGUUUUCAACAAUCGAUCUCACUGAAGAUCCUCCCGAUUUUGAUCCGCAUUCGCCGCCUGCUUCUCGGUCAUCGACGAUUUGUCUGCCGCUUAAUCCUGCUGGCUGCAGUUUCAUCAAAUCUUUAACAUCCUGCCAGGUCGCUGCCGGAGCUUCUCUGUGCUUGGCUAAGCCAGCUUCCAACUUUGGUUGCUGGAGGCCAAGCGAAUCGAUCCAAUGUCCCGAGGAAGGACGCCUUAAAAGGUUCACUGUCCGCGAGCUGAAGCUCGCUACCAACAACUUCAGUGAGACAAAGAAGGUGGGCGAGGGUGGGUUCAGUCGCGUGUACGAAGGACACUUGGCGGACGGCUCCAGAGUGGCGAUGAAAAGACUCACUAGACAUCCCUCUCUGGGAUCGAUACUCCGUGCUGAAGUAAAACUAGGGAACAUGAUUUGGCAUCGGAAUCUGCUUCCCGUUCAUGGCUUUUGUAUGUCAUCGAAACAUGGAGAAUACACGCUCGUGUACACUUUCAUGGUGAACGGAUGCCUAGACUCCCUUUUAAGAGGACAGUCAACAGAGAAGCGCCCACUAGAUUGGCCCACCAGGAAGAAAAUAGCAAUUGGAGCAGCGAGAGGGAUUUCCCAUUUGCAUGAUCUGAGGAUAAUUCACAGGGACAUUAAACCUUCUAAUAUACUGUUGGAUGAGGACUUCAUGGCCCGUAUCGGAGAUUUUGGGUUGGCCUUGUUCAUGGACGAGUACAAAGACAAGGCUGUUUCCGAAGGAGAACCCAACGGUGAAGACACUUUUUUUACCGACUGGACAGUGGGGACAUUUGGUUACAUGGAUCCAGAGAGCGGUGCCGGAAGAUACUCUGUAAAGAGCGAUGUUUAUGGGUUUGGCGUGACGCUUCUUGAACUGAUAAGCGGUCGAAGAGCUUGCCAAACAACCUGCCUCGAUGGAGACGAACUGGUGCUCCCUCAAUUGGCACAUGCCCUUCUAAAGAACGAAAAGCUGGAAACGAUAAUUGAUACCAACAUGCCCGGAGGCUAUGACGAGAGUGAAGUCGAGAAAGCCAUUCGUCUGGCUCUGCUUUGCACGCAACUCGACCCCACAAGACGACCUUAUAUGGCUGAAGCAGUCCUAUUUCUCGAAGGAAUUAUUAGCUUGGAGAAAAGAUGGGAGAAGUAUGAAUCCGGAGAUGAUUUUAUCUGACCUAGAUAAUCUUUCAAUUUCGUUUGACUCUGCUUCUUGUUCAAGGGAAGACGGAUCAUUUGGUCCUAGAUGAUCCUUCCAAGACCGUGUUGCUCGAGAUUCACUUGUGAGAUUGUGGCUGCGUCAGCUUGACCAUUAUAGCAAUACGUUGAAUCCUUUUUCCUUAAUUUGAGUGUUUUUUUUUUUGAUUUAUCAUAUUGAUGAGAUUCUUGUUAUGUUUCACAUGCAUUUAUUUUGCGAACGAGUGAUUUGAAAAACAUUUUCCAAAAAAUGAUAAUUUAUUUCAUUUAGAAGGAUAAAUUAAUGAACUUUUUUUUUCAUUAUUCAUGAUAAGAGUUAGGUAUAUAUUAUUAUCAAUGAUGAAAAUAUUUUUCAUUAGUUAUAGAUAAUUAUUUUUUGAAAAAUAUGUUUUAGAAAAUGAACGUAGCUCAUUGUAUAUUAGGCUUUUAUCAAAGCGCAAUUUGUUCUGCUCCACUAAAGGAGAAAGUCACUUAUCGAAAGCAAAUAAAGUAAGGAGGGAGCUCAUACCCAAGCCGGACUAACGGAUUUAAUUUACUAAUUGAGUUCUCGGCUCGUGGCUUCAAAGAAAAAAGUUCAAGGUGAGGGGAGAUUUUCACUCUUUCCAAUUAAGGUGAAGAAAUAUUAAAUUUGGAUUAGGGAUACUACAUGUUUAAUUGCUGGGUUGGGUUCAAUCCGUCUUACUCUGGAUCUAUACUUUUUGAUUUGAUAUUAUAGUGUUUUAUUGUAUAUUCAACUUGAAUAAAUUUUAAUAUUUAUAGUGUGCAUUUUGUAUUAAACUGCUGUUUGUUUUGAAAAAAAAAUAAAAAAUUUGAACAAUAUUUUUCUGAAAAUUAUCAUGUGUAUCAUUUAAGAUAAUUAGUUAAUAAACAUGUUUUCAUUAUUGAUAAUAAUUUAUAUGUAAACAAUUUCAUAGAUGAUGAAAAUAUUUUUCUUAUAAUCAUAUUUGUAAGCAAUAUAAAUGAAAAUUUUUAGGAAAAUAUUUUCUAAAUUAAUUUUUUUGCGAAAUUAACAGUGACUUAAUCUUACUUUUUAUUUUUUAUCUGUGCCUUUUUCUUCUCCAUCUCUCUCAUUUAGCUAUUUCCAUCACACCUUGACUCCUAGCAUAAAAGGGGAAUGGCAUAGCCGUCCUUUCAUCCGAAGGACACAACCUCUAACCAUUCGAAUCCAAUUCUCAAAAGUCCUCGUCUCCAAUUCUCAAAAGUCCUCGUCGAUAUCGCACUCACUCUAUACAUCGUUAAUUGAGGAACCUGAAAAGAUUGGAAAGGAGAAGAGUGAGCAACCACACCUCAAUAAAUAGUACAUAUCUUUAAAAAAGGUCAAGCCUCCACAUUACACACGUAGAACUUAAAAGACAUGAUUCAUUUAUGCAAAUCUAAAAUAAAACAACUUACAAGAAUAAAAUGAGUUAUAUAUUACUUCAGUCUUUCUAUAUCAAAAGUAGAAUUUCCUAUCCAUCCAUAAUAUAAAAAAAAAGGUUUGUUGGUUUAGUUCAAUAAUUAAACUCGUCAUAUCUCAUAUCAAUGGUUUAUUCCAUUUUUCAAACUCAUACCACAUCACAUCUCACGGCCUUAGAGGUAGCUCUCACAAGGCUCAUGACAUCACGUAACACUUAGCCCUUGAGUAUUACAAGGCCCUAUAAUUGGCUCUCACAAGAUUUGCAUCAUCGUGUAACAUUUAGCCCUUGAUCAAUACACAUCAAUAGUACAAAGUUUUAGAGGUGACUCCCAUGAAAUUAUAUUAUGUUGUAGCACAUACUCAUUGACCAACGUAUAUCAAUAAUACAAAGUCCUAGAUGUGGCUCCCACGUGACUCAAGUCAUUGUGAAGCACUUAACUCUUGACUAUAAGGCCCUGGAGGUGAUUUUCAUCAGUCCAUAUCAUGAUUGAUUUUACAAAGCAAAAUAUAGCAUUUCAUAGAUUAAUACUCUCACAAAACCCAUUUCAAAAUCCGUAUCAUAAAUUGGUUUCACAUAACAAAUCAAAUCACCUUUUAUAAACCAUACUCAAGUCAAAGCGAUUUCUUUCAUAAAAAAAAUUCGCAAACCCAGAAUAUAUCCUCUCUCCCAACUUCGUUCAUCAUACCACAAUAUAUUUCUCACACCAUUUUGAAAUUCAUUUCACAAGCUAGCAGUAUUUCAAAAUAUCUUUCUCAUUAAAUGUUUCCAAAUCAUUAAAGAACCUAUUCCAUAAAUCAGUUUGUAAUGUAAUACACAUAUUUAAACUUUUACAACACCUUCCAUGACACAUUUCUCAAAUUAUUGUCAAAUGAAUAAAAAAUAGUAAAUGCCUUAUCCGAAGUUAUACAUCAAAUAUGCUAUGAACAUUAUUUUUUCCUUUUAGCCAAUUCACAAUGUGCACAUAAUGUAUCUCAUACUUUUUCGUUUUCAAAAUAUGAGUCUACAGAUUCAAAUUCGAAGAAGGAUAACACCAUUUAACUAAUAAUACCCAAACCAAGCAAUGCAUAGCUAAAUGAGCCAAUGAUGUUGUAAUCCUAAUAAUUAAACAAGAAUCAACGUCAAAAUCAAGUGAAAACUACCUCGAUUAUGAAACGACUAAACUAUGUCUAAAUGCUAAUAAGACAACUCAUACACAUUAACAAAUCGCUCAUUCGAAGCGAUUAUUCAAGCCGUUCGCAACGUGAAACUUGAACAUAAAAUCUUAAGUUUUUUCUCCAACGAAACCAUAGCUCGAAAACAACUCUCGACAAACCUUAUGGCUAACGUGCGGACCCCUCAAGUGCCAUAACUUUGGCAAAAUGGACACUUAAGUGCCAUAACUUACGAAAGGUACACUUAAGUGCCAAAAUCGGAGUAAAAUGAACCACUUGAGUGCCAAUCCGGCCAAAAUGCCGACGUGACAUUUUUCCGGUGAAAUGCACCCAAAACGACGCCGUUUUGCACGCUGAUGUGGCCAAAUAAUACAAAAACAGCGCCGUUUUGGGCUGACGUGGUAAAUAAAUAAAUAAAUAAAUAAUUAAUUAAAUUUAGUUAAAAUAUUAAAAAAUAAUAAUUUUAAAAUUAAAUUUAGUUAAAAUAUGAAUUAAAAAUUAAAAAAAAAAUUAAAAUGCUUUAAAAAAAAAAAGAAAAAAAAGGGGAACGGGGGGGAGGCGGCUGAGGGAUCAGCCCUCAGCCGCCGCCGCUGUCGCCCCGCUGCCGCCGGGAAGGGCUGACGACGGCGAGGCUCAACUGAUCAAANNNNNNNNNNNNNNNNNNNNNNNNNNNNNNNNNNNNNNNNNNNNNNNNNNNNNNNNNNNNNNNNNNNNNNNNNNNNNNNNNNNNNNNNNNNNNNNNNNNNNNNNNNNNNNNNNNNNNNNNNNNNNNNNNNNNNNNNNNNNNNNNNNNNNNNNNNNNNNNNNNNNNNNNNNNNNNNNNNNNNNNNNNNNNNNNNNNNNNNNNNNNNNNNNNNNNNNNNNNNNNNNNNNNNNNNNNNNNNNNNNNNNNNNNNNNNNNNNNNNNNNNNNNNNNNNNNNNNNNNNNNNNNNNNNNNNNNNNNNNNNNNNNNNNNNNNNNNNNNNNNNNNNNNNNNNNNNNNNNNNNNNNNNNNNNNNNNNNNNNNNNNNNNNNNNNNNNNNNNNNNNNNNNNNNNNNNNNNNNNNNNNNNNNNNNNNNNNNNNNNNNNNNNNNNNNNNNNNNNNNNNNNNNNNNNNNNNNNNNNNNNNNNNNNNNNNNNNNNNNNNNNNNNNNNNNNNNNNNNNNNNNNNNNNNNNNNNNNNNNNNNNNNNNNNNNNNNNNNNNNNNNNNNNNNNNNNNNNNNNNNNNNNNNNNNNNNNNNNNNNNNNNNNNNNNNNNNNNNNNNNNNNNNNNNNNNNNNNNNNNNNNNNNNNNNNNNNNNNNNNNNNNNNNNNNNNNNNNNNNNNNNNNNNNNNNNNNNNNNNNNNNNNNNNNNNNNNNNNNNNNNNNNNNNNNNNNNNNNNNNNNNNNNNNNNNNNNNNNNNNNNNNNNNNNNNNNNNNNNNNNNNNNNNNNNNNNNNNNNNNNNNNNNNNNNNNNNNNNNNNNNNNNNNNNNNNNNNNNNNNNNNNNNNNNNNNNNNNNNNNNNNNNNNNNNNNNNNNNNNNNNNNNNNNNNNNNNNNNNNNNNNNNNNNNNNNNNNNNNNNNNNNGAUUUAGCGAAAAGGGAAUAGCGUGAUAAGUCUGAUUCUGAGGUAUUUUGUUCGGUAGACUCAAAUGAAGCAAUAGUUGGCAGACUAUGUUUGCAUCGAUUUCCCCUGAAGGAAUCAAGCGGAUUAUAGCCCAUAAUGGCAAAGAGAGAUCAACCCCAGCCAAUAUUUUCUCCUGGAGUUUCUUGCUUUUCCCCCUUCUUUGACUUUUCAACACUUCAUUUUAUUCUAUGUUCUUUAUUUUCUUGCUUUUCCCUCUUUUGACUUGGUCAAAACCCACCCUCAUUUUACGGCUUCUCUCUCAUUCACUUCACCAUCUUCAUCGAAUUUCCUCGCCUCUUUCUCCGAUGAUUACACCGCUCAAAGCUUCGAUCAUGCACACCUUCCUCGCGCAUCUCCUGGCGAUUCUCUGAUGGCUCGAGCUGCGACUUUACUUCCUUCAAACUUUUCACUCAAUCACAUUUGCUUCUUCCAACUUGCUGCGUGCAUUUCGACGAUAAUCACGGGACGAUUUUUGUCAUGGAAAUGCUGGUGUGAAGUUGCAGCUGCAGAUCAUCAAGAAACCUCGAGCAGUCUCAUCUGAAACCUAAACUAAGAACAUUAGGAAAGCCCCAGACCAAAAUCCCAUAAGCCAUUCGACACGUCCACCGGUUGGUUCUCUGCUUUGGAGAAACAGAUGUCCAUGGGUGUGAUUUCUCCUGCUUUGUCAAGAAAUUUUGGCGCAAGAGGACAGAGAACCCUAAUUCUGAGAUUUCGAGAUCAGAAUUAGUUUAAGAGACUAUUGGAUUAAUAAUGUCUCAGUUGUUGUUUUCUGUUCUGUUUUUUUUACUCUGUUUUCUGCUGUUUUCUGUUCUGUUUUCCGCUCUGUUUUACUCUGUUUUUUAAUUAAAAAACAGCAAAGUUCAAUUUAGUUAUUUAUUUAGUGUUUUUGCUAUUUUCUAGGAAGUUAAUAGCACGCUUGUGUGCAGUUAUGUGUUGCACGUACGUGAGUAGUUUUUGCUUUGUUUAAGUUGUCCUGUACUUGACAGUUUCCUUUAGAACAUACGUAUGCAAGUUUGUGUUAUGUUUCUCUACGCUUCUUUUCCUCAUCUGAAAAAUAUAGAUUCUAGUUUUCUAUUUUCUUGGUUACUGUUUUGAUCAGUAAUAACAGUGGUAUCAGAGCGUGAAUGAUCUUGAGGGACUGUGAAGUGAAGCAAGUAUUGAAGUGUAAAGAAGUUAAAGGGUGAUGGAGACAGGGUCGAGUGGUUUCUCUGUGAUGGCUUCUCCAGUAUUUACUGGAGAGAAUUAUCAAGCAUGGGCUGUUAAGAUGACGGCAUUCUUGGAGGGUCAUGAUUUAUGGGAGGCUGUGGAGGAUGAUUAUGAGGUUGCUCCACUUCCAGACAAUCCGACCUUGAAUCAGAUAAAGUACCAUAAAGAAAGAAUCACAAGGAAGGCCAAGGCAAAGUCAUGCCUGUACGCUGCUGUUUCACCCACUAUCUUCACAAGAAUCAUGAGAUGUGAUUCUGCAAAGGCAAUAUGGGAUUUCUUGAAGGAUGAAUACGAGGGAGAUGAGAAGAUAAGAGGCAUGAAGGUGCUGAAUCUCUUGAGGGAGUUUGAGAGACAGCAGAUGAAGGAUUCAGAGUCAGUGAAGGAGUACUCUGAUAGGUUGGUUGGGAUAGCUGAAAAAAUAUGAGUUUUAGGGACUGACUUGAAGGAUGAAAGGCUUGUUCAGAAGAUUUUGGUGUCUCUUCCAGAGAAGUUCGAAGCCACCAUAGCGUCUCUGGAAAAUACAAGAGACUUACCUGAUAUAAAGCUUGCAGAAUUGUUAAAUGCUCUGUAGGCGCAGGAGCACAGAAGACUGAUGAGAAGAGAAGAGUUUGUAGAGGGUGCGCUGCAAGCUAGAGUGAAGUCAAAUGAUGGAGGCAAAGGGAAGAAAUGGAUUCAAUCCAGAGAAAAUGCCGGUGACUCCAAGUUUGUAGCAAAAGAAGGAAAUUCUUGUGGGUCUAGCAAAUGGAAGAUGAACAAAAAGCCUUGUCAAUACUGUGGUGGAACUAAUCAUCAGUUUUUUAGAUGUUGGAGAAAGCCUGAUGCUAGAUGCAGAAGAUGUCACAAGUUGGGUCACAUGGAAGCCAUCUACAAAGAAAAAAAAUUACCAUCAAGUAGGAAAAGCCCAGGUAGCAGUGAAUGAAACUGAGGAAGAGCACUUGUUUGUAGCUUCAUUUUCUGAAUCUUCUGUUGGGAAUGAUGCAUGGCUGGUGGAUAGUGGCUGUACCAAUCAUAUGACUGGCAAUUCGAAGCUGUUUAGGAUUCUAGACAGGUCAGUCAGGUCCAGAGUCAGAAUUGGCAAUGGAUAGUAUAUCGAAGUGCAAGGGAAGGGUACAGUGGCUAUUGAAGGAAGUUAGGAGGUGAAGCUGAUCAGUGAUGUUCUCUUUGUGCCAAAUAUUGACCAUAAUCUGUUAAGUGUUGGUCAAUUAGUUGAGAAGGGCUAUAAAGUGAAGUUCGAAGGGAAGGAAUGUCUUAUUAAUAAUGCAGAUAGCAAAGAAGUGCUAAGAAUUCCAAUGGAGGACAAGAGUUUCAUGUUCAAGCCACAAGAGAUGCAACAAAUGGCUUUAAAGUGCAAAGAAGAAAAUGCAGAGAUAUGGCAUAAAAGACUUGGGCAUGUUCACAGGAAGAGCAUGUCGUUUAUGCAGAGAAAUAGCUUGGCAGAUGACUUGCCAAGUUUGGAGGAGGAAUUUCCAUAGUGCAAAACUUGUCUUCUUGGCAAGCAAGCCAGAUUUCUUUUCAAAGGAGGAGGCUGGAGAGCAUGUGAGAAGCUGCAAUUAGUCCACACAGAUUUAUGUGGACCUAUGUCUGAGUCUUCUCUCAAUGGUAGCAGGUAUUUCAUUACCUUCACUGAUGAUAUGACUAGGAUGAGUUGGAUUUAUUUUCUGCGAGCCCAGUCUGAAGUUGCUAAUGUGUUUGUGAAGUUUAAAGCCUUAGUUGAGAAUCAAAGUGGAAAGAAAAUUAAAAUGCUCAGGUCUGAUAAUGGUUCUGAGUAUACUGCUCACAAGUUUAAGUUGAAUUAUGAGCAAGCAGGAAUUGUGCAGCAGUUCACUGCUCCUUAUUCACCUCAACAGAAUGGGGUCAGUGAGAGGAAAAAUAGAAGUAUUAUGGAGAUGGCCAGAUGUAUGAUGCAGGAGAAGAUGUUGCCUAAGAAGUUCUGGGCUGAAGCAGCUAAUACUGCAGUGUUCCUGUUGAACAGAUUGCCCAUAAAGGCCUUAGAGAGGUCAACACCUUUGAAGUCUGGNNNNNNNNNNNNNNNNNNNNNNNNNNNNNNNNNNNNNNNNNNNNNNNNNNNNNNNNNNNNNNNNNNNNNNNNNNNNNNNNNNNNNNNNNNNNNNNNNNNNAGCACCUUCGCGUGCGUGGGUUUCUUAAGAAAAAUUAUUGUAUGUUCUUUUUCCGAACUAUAGUCGGUUGUCUAGGUUACAAAAAUUAAAUGAAGAGAAAAACUUUUAAUUGCUCAUUUUCUUAAAAAAUGCACAGAUUGCAUUCGAUGAUGAAAAUAUUUUCCGUUGACUUUUUUUUCUUAACUAUAUAAGUGUGCUUUUUUUUGAAAUGAGCUUCCAAAAGUUUUUCUCUUCGUUUAAUUUUUGUAAUCUUGACCACCCCUUUUAUUUCGGGGAAUGAACAUAAAUUUUUUUUUUUUCGAAAAUGAACGCACGCUAAGGUUGGAUCUCCUAGAGCGUGAUUAGGGGAUCCUGCCUGCAUAUGGGACUGAAACAGGCUCCAAGAGCUUGGUAUGGGAAGAUAGAUCGAUAUUUGCAAGAUUUUGGCUUUGUGAAAAGCUUAAGUGAGUUCACUCUUUAUGUCAAGAAGGUGAAUCACAGUGUUGUAAUUCUAUCACUUUAUGUAGAUGAUCUAUUAGUGACAGGGAAUGUUAUGGAAUUAAUAGAGAAGGUGAAGCAAGAUUUAUUUGCAGUUUUUGAGAUGUCAGACUUGGGAAAGAUGGCUUAUUUUUGGGUUUGGAAGUCAAACAGGCUUCAUAUGAGAUCUUCAUUUGUCAGAAAAAAUACAUGAAGGAAAUUCUAAAGAAGUUUCAGAUGGAAGAUUGUCGAAGUGUAAGCACUCCUAUGGCUGCUAAAGAGAAGCUGCAGAAGAAUAAUGUAACAAAUGCAGUAGAUGCUUCUAUGUAUAGAAGUCUGAUUGGGUGUCUCAUGUAUCUUACAGCAACCAGACCAGAUAUUGUAUUUGCUGUGAGUAUUUUAUCUAGGUUUAUGAGUAGUCCUAGUUAGUUACAUUUGAUUGCAGCAAAAAGGGUAUUGAGAUAUCUCAAAGGAACAUUGUUCUUUGGUGUGAAGUUUAAGAAAUGUCAGAAAUUUAAUUUGCAAGGAUUUUCUGAUAGUGACUGGGCUGGUUCAGUGGAUGACAUGAAAAGUACGUCUGGAUAUUGUUUCAGUCUUGGUUCUAUUUGUUUCUCCUGGUGUUCUAAAAAGCAAGAGAUUGUAGCUCAGUCCACAACAGAGGCUAAGUUUAUAGCAGCUAUGCAGCUGCAAAUCAAGCUUUGUGGCUAAAAAAGAUAAUGAAUGAUCUGUGGUUGAAUUCUAGUGAUUGCAUUGAAGUUAAUGUGGAUAAUCAGGCUGCGUUAGCAAUAUCUCAGAAUCCAGUUUUCCAUGGCAAAACCAAGCAUUUUAAAGUCAAAUUUUUCUUUCUACGUGAGGUGCAACAAAGUGGCGAAGUUCAGUUGGUCUAUUGCAGAUCUGAAGAUCAGCUUGCAGACAUGUUCACAAAACUACUUCAAGCUGGAAGAUUUGAAGUAUUAAGAAAGAAAAUUGGAAGAUUUGAAGUAUUAAGAAAGAAAAUUGGAGUAUGCAGCAGCAACUGAUCCAAGGAGGAGUUUGUUGGAUUAAUAAUGUCUCAGUUGCUGUUUUCUGUUUUGUUUUUUUUACUCUGUUUUCUGCUGUUUUCUGUUCUGUUUUCUGCUCUGUUUUACUCUGUUUUUUAAUUAAAAAACAGCAAAGUUCAAUUUAGUUAUUUAUUUAGUGUUUUUGCUAUUUUCUAGGAAGUUAAUAGCACGUUUGUGUGCAGUUAUGUGUUGCACGUACGUGAGCAGUUUUUGCUUUGUUUAAGUUGUCCUGUACUUGACAGUUUCCUUUAGAACAGACGUAUGCAAGUUUGUGUUCUGUUUCUCUACGCUUCUUUUCCUCAUCUGAAAAAUAUAGAUUCUGGUUUUCUAUUUUCUUGGUUACUGUUUUGAUCAGUAACAACAGAGACUGCGUCAAGAUUAUUUAUUUGAUCAGAUCAAAAUGUGGAUUCCUUGGCGAAGGGUGGCGUCCUGGUUUGCCACAUCCAUUUGGCAAGCAUUUCAUUCAUAAACAGAAGGCCAGGCAAAAGAUUUCAUAACGCGUAUCGAGCAUUUGAGAGGUGCGGAUCCCAUCGUGUAAGUCUCAACGCAGAGGGACAGGAUGCUUUUGCCCAAAGAAAAAGGAAGAGAAGCAGCGGGAUAGUUCACUUAGUUUAGAUAUAUUGAUCCUUUGACGUCAUUCGUGGGAAUAAGUCGUCUUCAAAUUCAGGCUUCCGACUCUGGUUGUUCAUGUUGUAGGCCAAGUAAAUCUCUCCAGUUCCCUCGUUCUGAUCUGAAGCUUUGCCAAGGACGCCUUAAAAGGUCCUUCCAUGAACUACAGGCAGCUACCUGCCACUUAAGCGACAAAAAGAUUGCAGGCAGGGGCGGGUUUGGUCUAAGUAUAUGAAGGACUAUUGGCAGAUGGCUCUCGAUUGGCUGUAAAAAGAAUCGCCAAGCGUUCCCAUUUGGAAAUGAGAGGGUUACAUGCAGGAGUGAAAUUGGGAAAGAUACCCUUGGCUUUUGCUUGUCAUCGGAAUUGAAAGAGUACAUGUUUGUGACGCUCCCCCUUGAUUAGCCCACCAGGAAGGAGACAGCUUUUGGAGUUGCGAGAGCGACUUCCCAUCUGCACGAUCACAGCGUAAUCCAUUGGGACAUCAAGCCCCAUAAGAUGCUGCUGGGCGAGAACUUUGAGGAUGAUCAUUUUCAUGGACAAGGAUGAAGAGAAGGGUGUUUCCAAGGAAGCCAGCUUCUUUAGCCUCAGCUUUCUUAGCACCCGACUAGGCAGGGCGGAUGGUUGUCUUGAUCCAGAGUACUCCUGGAGUCAAAUGAGCUCGGUGAAGAGUGACGUCUAUAGUUUUGGCAUGACCCUUCUCGAACUCAUCAGGGGUUGAAGUGCGCAAAGGUAGAUCAGUCCUUGGGGGCUGCCGCUACCUGAAUGGGCAGGCAUACUUUUCAAAGAAAAAGACUUGGAAAGGCUAGUUGAUAGUGACAUACGAAGCGGGGCACAGGGAAAGCGAAACUGAGAAAACGAUCCAGCUAGCUCUACUUUGCAUGCGGCUCGACCCAGAAAGGAGACCUAAUACGUCGGUAGUAGUCCAAAUUCUUUAAGGGGCUAUUAACUUGGAGUAGAGAUGGAAGCAGUACCAAAAUGAUGCUAUUACGCCCAAAAUUUGACAUGGAUAUGGCGGACUCUGGUUCAUCUCUGUCACGAUGAAUUCUUAAUACCACAUCCCAGUUAAUCGUUCUGUGGAGUUGUUGCUCAGCUGAAGAAUCACUGAUGAGAGUGUCCUAAUUCUGAGAAUUACAUGACUUCUAUCGUAACUUGUAUGUUGAUUGUGCUGCUUUUGUGCUUUUCCACUUACAUUCGUUUGUCGACUCUUUGGUAGUUAAACAGUGAGACACUUUGUAUGUUUUCUUUGGCUAACAUGCACCCCAUGAUUUUGCCUGCUCUAAAAACACGUUCUAAAUCACCAAGAUGUCGUAGUUCAACCUGUUUCCAAAAGCAGCCUGUUAGGCUAGAUUGAUCUGAGGAAAAAAACAAUCAGAUUACAUUUGAAGAGAAAAUCGAUGAGAUAAGCUAAUAUUCAUUGACUAAAUGCAAAAGUUCCCAUGGUAAUUCAGAACGACUAAAGCUUUAAUUAGAAAUGCAGGUAGUGGUAGGUUUCCUCAUAUGAAGUGGUCAAUUCAUUCAAAUCGAUUCCUUCUUGGAGCAAUUUUCUGGGUUCAUAAUGAAUAAUAUGUCCGUACUAGCGAGACUAAUUGAUCAGAAUCAACGUAAGAAAGGCUUGAUAAUGAAUUUGUGCGUGGUCAACAACUUGAUUCAACGAGUCAAAGGUGCAAGGAUUUGAUUAAGAAAAGAGGGCAACAGCAGGGACUAAAAGUAAAACUUUUUUCGAGGUGGAAGUCAUUGGUUGGAACAAAGGAAUGUAAUUCCCUACACCUCUUCUCCGGUUCUUUUCUACCAGAUGAAGUUUAUUAAUACCUGAGCCCGGCUGGUCUUGGUAUCAGCUGAGGAAAGAGGAUGAAUUGCAUUCAGACGCAGCAUAGAAAAUCUAGAAGUUGGACUGACUUUCCCAAUAAAGCUCGACGUAUCAGAAGGGUAAACUGCUCCGGGGAGAAUCGGAAGUGACGAAGACGACUAUGAUACCCCACAAAACGUGUUGAAACCACUAGGCUUUUUUUUCACUGGCUUUGACAAGAUCAGAUGAGUGCACCAGGCAUGACAGACAACCAAAAUUUAUAAGUCUGAAUCUCCAGACUCAGCUCAGGCUCACCUCUGCAGCAAAAAACUCUUCUUCCUUCCUCCUGUUCCCGUUUGUGAAAAGAUAAAUUCGAGCAAUCCGAGCUUCAUUUCCGAGGAGUGUGGUGUUUCAGAAGAGGAAAGAACCAUGGUCUUCAAGUUUUCAACCUUCAAUCUCACUGAAGAUCCUCCCGAUUUCAAUCAGUGUUCGCCACCUCCUUCUCAGUCAUCAACAAUUUGUCUGCCGCUUAAUCCUGCUGGCUGCAGUUUCAUCAAAGCUGUAACAUCCUACUGGGUCGCUGCCGGUGCUUCUCUGCGCUUGGCCAAUUCAGCUUCCAAUCUUGGUUGCUGGAUACCGAGCGAAUCCCUCCAAUGUCCAGAGGAAGGACGCCUUAAAAGGUUUACUUUCCGCGAGCUGAAGGUCGCUACCAACAACUUCAGCGAGACAAAGAAGGUGGGUCAGGGUGGGUACGGUUGUGUGUACGAAGGAGUCCUGGGGGACGGCUCCAGAGUGGCGAUAAAAAGACUCGUUAGACAUACCUGUCAAGGAUUGACACCGCGUGCUGAAGUAAAAGUGGGGACCAUGAUCUGGCAUCGGAAUCUCCUUCCGCUUCGCGGCUUUUGUUCGUCAUCGAAACAUGGAGAAUAUGCUCUCGUGUACCCUUUCAUGGUGAACGGAAGCCUAGACUCCCUUUUAAGAGGACAGUCAACAGAGGCGAGCCCCCUUGAUUGGCCCACCAGGAAAAAGAUAGCAAUUGGAGUUGGGAGAGGGAUCUCCCAUUUGCAUGAUCUGAGGAUAAUUCACAGGGACAUUAAACCCGAUAAUAUACUGUUGACUGAGGAUUUUGAGGUCCGUAUUGGAGAUUUUGGGUUGGCCUUGUUCAUGGACGAGUACAAAGACAAGGCUGUUUCCGAAGGAGGACCCAACGGUGAAAACGCUUAUUUUAUCGACUGCACAAUGGGAACACUUGGUUACAUCGAUCCAGAGCGCUUUCUCGGAAGAAACUCAGUAAAGAGCGAUGUUUAUGGGUUUGGCGUGACGCUUCUUGAGCUCAUAAGCGGCCGAAGAGCUUGGGAAACGACCUGCCUCGACGGAGAUGAACUGGGGCUGCCUCAGUGGGCACAUGCCCUUUCAAAGAAGGAACAGUUGGAAAGGCUAGUCGAUUCCGAUAUGCCGUGUGGCUAUAACGAGAGCGAAGUCGAGAGAACCAUUCGCCUGGCUCUGCUUUGCACGCAAUUCCACCCCAAAAAACGACCUUUUAUGGCUGAAGCAGUCCUAUAUCUUGAAGGAAUUAUUAGCUUGGAGAAAAGAUGGGAGGAAUAUCAACCUGAAGACGAAUUAUAUGGCCCAAAUAACCUCUCCAGUUCGAGCGACUGUACUUCUUGUCCAAGGGAAGAAGAAUUAUCUGGUCCUAGAUGAUCCUUCCAAGAACCCGUCGCUCGAGAUUCACCCGUGAGAUUGUGGCUGCCUUAGCUUGAGCAUUAUACAAAUACUCUUGAAUCUUUUUGCUUAGUUCGAGUGUAAUUACUCCUCUUCUGUUAUAAGGUUGACAAUAUUCUUGUUAUACUUUACCUUAAAUCUGAUUUUAUUUAAAAUAAAAAUAAAAAAUCAAACAUUGUGAACAGCUUGAAAAUUUGAUCUAAACUAUAACUUUUUUUUGGUGAGUGGAUAUCUUCUAAGAUUAGAGUGUAACAGAUUAACAUAGAAGUUCUUCACUUCAGUUUUAUCUUAUUCUCCUGUCAAAUCAUCAUCUACGAAAAGAUUGAGAAGAAAUAGAUAAAGAUUUUGAGACGGGCAUGCUGUUAUUGACUUUGUCUUAACCGGGUAAGGCCCGUCUGUUCGGUUCCAUUAGAGGAGAAUAUCACUCAAUGCAAGCAAAAUGUGGAGAUCAGAAAUAGUUUAUGAGACUGUGCCGAGAUUGUUCAUCUGGUCAGACCGGAAUGUGGAUUCCUCAGCGAAGGGUGGUGUCCUGAUUCGCCACAUCCAUUUUGCAGGCAUUUCAUUCAUAAACAGAAGGCCAGGCAAAAAAUUUCAGAGCGUGUAUUGAGUAUUUGAGUGGUCCGAAUACGAUCGUGUAAGUCUCAACGCAGAGGGCAGAGUGCUUUUGCCCAAAGAAAAAGGAAAAGAAGCAGCGGGAUAGUUCACUAAGUUUAGAUAAAUUGAUCAUUUGAUGUCAUUCCUGGGAAUACGUCGUCUUCGAAUUUGCGGCUCGCCGGAAGAAAUUGGCAAAGGCCCAAGAAAUCGCGAAAGACAAGCUUAAAACUGCUGGUUUACGCUUUCCGUGCGCACCUACAAUACAACGUUAAACGUCCGUAACAUAUGGACCAUAAAAUUCAGCCCAUUAUUUUUUAUUAGCCAAAGCCCAACCCAUUUCUUUUCCUUUCCCCUCAAUUAGUGCAAUUGAGCGCGAGCAUAAAUGGAAAGAAGGCAGCGACGGCAAAAGCGAGGAAAAAAUAAAAGAAGCGCCUGUGGAGAAGGGAAAGGGGAAAGGAAGAAGUGUGAGAAAUUCUAGCACGUACACAAUCCGGACACUCCGACUAGCCAAAUCAACUACGAAUGCAAUGUCUGGUGAGUAUUCAAGCCAAUCAUUUGUCUAAUUGGAGUAAUUUUUUAAUUCAGGGCAUGAAGUUGAACUUAUAUCAAUUCUGAACUAACAGGUUUGAUAGAGGAGUUAUUAGGUUGUGCUUUUUUGGAAAUGAUAGUUUACAAUAUUGUGGAACUAUAGGGUUUGAUGAAAAUUAGAUCCAAAGUACAGAUUAAUUGGAAAGAAAUUCUGAAAUUCAUGUGCGAGUUACGCAUAACAGAUAGUACACAUAAGGAAAAAAAAAUGAAUGUUUGCUAAAAUUGAGAUUACUCAGUUGUGCAUAGAUGUCGUUUUAUGAUGAGUGAGCGUGGUUUAGUCAAUCGUUCAUUGGAAUAGUGAUUUUACUCGAAUUUAGAUAUCAUUUUUUUUUUUGGUUAAUUAUGGAAAUACAAGUGCCUAGGCUUGAGUAACAUGCAUAAGCUGGUUUUCAACUUUCCAAAUAUGAGUGAUGCUAUCUCUUUAAAAAUUUGUAAUCUCAUAUCUUUAGGAAAAUACAAAUUUGAUAAAUUUUGAGUUAUGAUUAAGCACAUUUAUUGUAUAAAAUUUAGAUGGGGCAUUUAUUACGUUUUGGUAUUUGUAAAUGGUGUGAGAACUAUUUGAUGGAAAUAUAUAUUCUGUUUAAUGAAUUUUUAUGAAAAAGCUAUGACAUCCUGAUUUUCAAAUCUGAUUUCAAUGAGAUGAAAUUGGCUUUUCAUUAAUGUGUCUAUAAUAUUUUUCUCUGAGUUGGCCACUCACGAGUUAACUAGUCUAUCAGGUGAAACCGUUAAGGAAUCUAAACGCAAUAGACAUAAGAAUUCAACUAGGAAUUGACUGCUCGACCGUACUAAUCUGCAAGGGUCAUUACGGUACCAUCAAAAUUGAUCAGAGAUUGGAGACAGGUCGAUUCGAUCAAGAUAUGUGAUUAGUGCGUGGGUGAUUCCACCUAAUUGCAAAAUUUCUGUCGAAGGGCACUAGACCGAUUUUUCUGUCAUUCCUGUACUCUGUGUCCAUAUUUGAAAUAUCGAGAUUUUCACAACAAUCGAUAGUCGCCAAUGUGUCGAAGAUGUACGUUGUGACUCGAAAAUAAUCAACCACGGGUCAAUUGUAUUAAAAAUUCAUAAAAAAACAACCCGGUAGAUUGUGAUACGCUAAAAUUACGUCAAAUUGAAAUUAACUGCGAAAUUGAACUCGAUUUCAAAAAGUGAAAGUUCCACUGUGUCACGAUUCAUUUUAGGAACAUCGACUCAUAUUCCAAAAAAAUUUCGGAGAUUCCGAGAUUUUUUACGGAAAAUCAAUUCAGAAAAUGAACGGAAAUUCGGUUUAGCUCAUUUUAAGGGAAUUUUGAUUUCUAAACUGAGCUACUUGGUGAUGGGAAUUUGUGGAAAUAUGUGGACUUUUUUUUCUUCAAAAUAGGACUUCGAAUUGGAGAAAUUGAGGAUGAAAUUGAAGCCCCAAAGUGUGAAAUCCGGAUUUAGGCUUGGACAGCAAAUUUUGGCUUCAAAAUUGGUUUUAUUGGUGGAAUUUAGGCUAGAAAGAAAUAUUGGACAUUGUGAUAAGCUUGAAGACCAAUGGGGAAUCAAGCAUUUAAUUAAAGAGAUAGGAUUGUGGACUUUUGACUUCAGCCUUGACUUCCUUCGCACGCCUGUCCACCGCCUCUCUCCCUUCGUGCGACGCCUCCAGCUUCUGCUUACUUUGAUUUUUUUUUUUUUCCCUUCAUUUUCACCCCUCUCUUCCACGUCCUGCUCCAUCAAAACUUCCCCUCACACCGUGAGCUUCAAGCUGCUGUGAAGACCGAAGCCACUCAUCCCCUCCCCCACUCACAUACGCCCACCUCCACUUACGAUUCCCCUCUGCAGGCCACGCCUUCCCUUUGGUCAACAAACCAGCCUUGUUUUCACUUUGGUUGACUCAUCUCACAGCUCCAUUUCGUUGCCUCGCAUUCGUGCGGCCCACAGCCCGUUGAAGGCCAGCGAUUUCUCCCUGCUGCUUCGAAGACCAGCCACCCAUCUCCUUCAAUCGAGCGGCCCUUUUUUCCCUCACCGAAGCCCACGCUCUUCACGUCCAGCCACGCUCGAAGAUUUUUCCCCUGUAGUCCACCGAAGACCGAAGACCGAAGACCGAAGACCGAAGCUGCUUCGCCGUGAGUCGUCCACGCGUUGCAGCCUCCACCGAAACUUUCCUCAGUUUUUGCCGCGGCCCGCUUCAACCCCUCUCAAUUCAAGACCGAAACCAGCAGUUUUUGUGCCGGUUUUCUCAGCCCGAACAGCAAGUUUGUUGGCCGUUUUCAGCCGGUCCGAGCGUCCCUUGACCUCGCCGUGAGUUCAAGUCUCGGUUGCUGUCGCGCCACCAUCGCCGUGAGCCGAUUUUCAUGCUAACCGGUGAGUUUUGUUCUAAUCCUUAAUUACUGGGCUAAUGACACUUAGAGGUGGUUAGUUAGCUAAUUGGUGGAUUAGUUAGCUUAAUUAAGCUUAAGGUUAGUUUAGUUAGAUUAAGUAUUUAGUUAGUAUUUAGUUAGUUUAAUUAGUUUAGUUAGGUGGAUUAGUUAGGAAUUAGUUAGUUUAUUUAAAUUAGUGUACUUAGAUUAAAUUAGAUAGAACGGUUAGAUUUAAUUGUUAGUUAGAGUAAUUAGCCUAGUUAGUUUAGGUUAAUUUAAUUAAAUGCUUUAAAUUUAUUUAUUAUGUAAUCUAUUUAAUUUACAGUAAUUUAUUUAAUUAUUAAUUAUUUUCCGGAAAUUAAACUAGGAUAGCCGGUGACCGGAAUUUUGUGCUGAUUGCAAUGGUGUGUUUAGAUUUUGCAAUUGGAUGUUAAUUUGUGCAAUUUGAAUUUAAGUUGUAAUUUUGGGAAUUUAUCCCAAAAUUGUAUAAUUUCAUUAAUUAAUUAUAAAUUACCGGGACGUCGAUUUACAACGCAAAAAAUAUUUUCGGACUCUCUAUAAAUAGUGCGAUUUUCUAAAGUAAAGAUAUUAUAUUUUUAGCUCAGGCCGACCGUGUACCCACACAUAACUAUUUUCAUCGGAUGUUUUUAAUAUGAAGAAAAUAGGCUAGUAUCACUAUUUUAAUGGAGACAUUUGAGUGAAAUGUAUGGUGUCCUAGGCCGAGAUUGUUUGAUCGUGUAUUGAUUAACGAAAACCAAUAUCGAGUUUUUAAGCCGAACAUUGCCCUAUAUGGGAUAUCCAUUCUUCGGAUCGCGGGUCGCAGUAGAUUCUGGACCUAUGUCCCUUCGAGGAAGCCGUCUAUUAAGAUAUGGACGUUGCUGUGCUCAAUGGAGCUGAGACGAUACCUGGCUACGCCAGAAGAACACUGAAUUUAUGAGUAGGUGACUCAGGUUGCAGUAGAUUCUAGACCUACGUCCCUUUAGGGAAGCCGUCUAUUAAGAUAUAGACGUUGUCAUGCUCAAUAGCAGGGAGACGAUACCUGGCUAUGUUAGUAGACACUGAACUUAUGAGAAGGUGAUACUUGGGACCCUUGUGAUUACUUGAGUUGAUAAGGCGUUUCAAUUGUUAUAUGCAUUGUGAUAAGAACUGUUCUAACGUGCAGGAAGGAACUGAGACGAUGUAAGUCUUCUAUGCAAAUUGUGUGAUUGUGUAGUUAGGACGCUUCUAAGUGUAUUUCCCUCCUAAUCGGGGCUUAGAGUAUAAACCCGCUGAGAUUUAUAUCUCACCCGUCGUGGGCUUAAAUUUAUAGGGCCGUAGAGGGAGGACCUAGAGUUGAGUUGAGGUGACCUGAAGAGUAGGUCAAAUAGGACAGCCUUUUUGGGAGUCAGUCUUUUGAAAUCAAUUGAAUAUGGGAUUUUGUACUUGACUUAAUAUGUUUAUAAAAGCAUGUGUUAUUUGUGAAUGUGUUGUCCUGCUUUUCUAUCCCGAGAUGGUUACUGUCAGGGAAUUUGUUAUUGGCUUCCGCAUGUGCAAUAAAAUGAAAGGGUCGGUGAUUUGUCCUAGGAAGUCACAAAAUUUUAUUGACCAUAGAGGGAUGGGUAUGUACUCGAGGAUUGGGGCGUGACAAAAGCUCUUGACAUUGAAUAUAUAUCGAAUCGUGAAAUGCUUUAUGACAUGCCUUUGAUUUAAUUCAAUUUGUAAAAUUGAUUUAUGAGAUAAGUCCUUAAAUGAUUUGAAAAAUGUUUUCACAAAAUGUAAUUCUCACGGAUGAAUUAAGUUGCAAAAGUUUAUGUGAUUGAUUUGCGAAAUGUAUUCUAAUAUAUGAGAUUUUUUAUGAAUGUGAUUUUUGGUAUUGGAGGAUGAUAGUGAUGUGAAUCGUUGCGGAAGGAUCGUUCUACGAAGGCCCAGAUGGUGCGAAUUGCAAACCUCGACCUCCAAUCAAACCUGUGAUUGGCAACCUCGGUAUGAACGUGAUCUAUUGACGAACACGUGUCAACCGACCAACGUUAUAGACGCCACGAGCGUAAGAAUUCGCUAUCUCGCUCGAUAAGUCAAAUUGACCGCCACAAGAGAAUCUUGAUUAGGUCAAGUCCUCAAAAGAACAGUAAAAAGAGAACCUCUCAAUUCUUUUCCUCAAACAUAAAAAUAUAUCUGUCCCCAAAGAAAUUUGGCAAAUUCUUUUUAUAGGCUGCAACACAAACCCUAAAAAUCUAAUGCGUCAUAUUCUAGAAUAUUCCUAUUCUAGAAUAUUCUUAAACAAGAAUAUAUAUAAAUUGACUUGGUCAAUUAUUUGGUGACAAGAUAAUUAAAUUGCACCAAGAUUUCCAAAAUUCUUCAAGAUUUGAAUUUGAUCCAAGGUCAUCUUCACGCCAAAGAUCACGAACCAUGACGCCAACAGCUUGCCUGAAUUGUUUGGCCCGCGCUCGAGUAAUCGAACUAGUAGGAAUAGACAAUGGGUCCCUAGCACCUCCUCCUCGAUAUGACUUGAUGUCCACAUCAGAUAGUUAGGUGCUCAAUAUCGUUGUGAACUCGGUUGAGGAUUUGUGAGUAUAUACAUAUUAGUGUAUAAUAUCAUUGUGAGCCAAGCUACCAACUAAUACUAAGUGAAGACCUAACCAAUAGAAAAAACUUGAUCACCUUGUCAUGGACUAGAUAUUUGAGCAUGAGUUUAGUUAAUGAAAUCAACUAUUGACAUGUGAUUUGAGAUUAAUCGAUGAAAUGAACCAUUGACCUGUGGUUAAAUGAGAUUAAUUAAUGGAAUAAGCCAUUGAUACUUGAUUUGUUAUUGUGAACUGACAUUAUUAUUAAUUUAUACAUAAAAGGGUUUGUUAGAAAGAUAUUUACUUUUGAUAUUUUGCGUAUAUACAUUACUAUAUAUAUCGAAUUGUGAAUGUACAAUAUGUUUAAAAAAGACACUACUCACUAAGUUAUGAUUGCCCACCUCUCUAUUUUCCAAUAUUUUUUAGGUUCUUCUGCUAGCAAUGGAUAGUACAAGAACAAUAUCGACGAAGGGACAUUAAGGAGUUAGACUUUUGGGAUUUGAUGCUAUGUCCUUUGGAUGAAAGGAUGGCGUGUCAUCCCCAUUCCUGAAGACUUGCUCAUAGGCAGCUAUGUUGUGAACACUUUGAGUACUAGUGUUUGUCUACUGAAGACCCCCAUCACAACAUACAAACAAUAUGUUAUCUUUCAAUUUCUGCAUUGUAAUUAUGCUUGUAGUUCCCAAAUGUUUUGCUGUUGCUUAAAUUGCAUGUAUCUCAGCUGUAGUGUUAAGAUCUUUGCUGUUAAUUAAAUUCCGGUGAAGCUUAUGUACUUUCAGUUAUGUUUGAAGUGAAAUUAUCAAUUUCCUUGCAUACCUAUGACAUUUCUUGUACGGGGUCAUUGCAGAACUUGUCUCCUCUCAUGAAAAAAUCAAAAAAUGAUUUUCGGUGAAAAGUAUUUCGUCUCGGGUGCAAACACACUUGUGUUCAUUUUUCGACUCUUUGGUUGAUUUACAGCUAGACACUUCGUACUUAUUCUUCAGCUAACAUGCUCCCCAUGAAUUCGCUCGCGCCGAAAAAAAUGUUCCAUGAUUCAAGAAUCUCCAAGAUGUUGUAGAUCAACACCUGUUUCCAAAAGCAGCCUGUUAGGCUAGAUUGAUCUGGCGUAAAUAAAUAGAUUACAUUCAAAGGGAAAAUCGAUGAGAUACGCUAGGAUUCAUGGACUACAUGCAAAAGUUCCCAUAGGUAAUUCAGAAAGACAGUAGCUUUCGUUAGAAAUGCAGGUAGAGGAGGGUUUCCUCAUAUGAAGUAACAUAAUUAGUCAAAUUAAAUCUUUCCCUGAUAUGGAAGGUCUUGUGGAGCAAUUGUCUGGGUUUAUACUGAGUAAUGUCUGUAGUAGCUAUAUUAAUUGAUUGGAAUCAGUGUAAGAGAGACUUGAUAAUGUAAUUUAUGCCAGGUCAACGACUUGACUCGACGAGUCCGAGGUGCAAGGUUUUGAUUAAGGAAAGAGCGCAACUUCCGGGACUAAAAGUAAUGCUUUUGGCCUUUCAUUUUCGAAAUGGAAGUCAAUAUUGGUGGGAACAGAGGAACGUAAUUCAUUAAACCUCUUCUCAGGUUUUUCUUCUACCAGAUGAAGUUUAUAAACACCUUUGUUAGACCGGGCUUAUAAUUCAACUUAGUAGCAGCCAGUGUCGGUGUCAGCCGAAGAAACUGGAUGAAUUGCAUUCAGACACAGCAUAGGGGAGAGGCGAAAGCGACGAAGAUGACUGAGUCAAUGGACGACGAAGAUGACUGAGUCGAUGGAGUCAUGGCUCUGUUCAACGGGUCAGUAGGAGAUAACAAGCCUGACUAGCAUUUAUAAUAUUAGUUUUUUUUUUUUCAUUGCAGAUGCGUGUACGCCAGUAGGUAUAUGACAGACCACCAAAAUUUGAAAGUCUGAAUAUCCAGAUUCGGCUCAGGCUUACCUCUGCAGCAGAAAACUCUUCUUGCUUCCUUCUCCUGUUCCCGUUCGUGAAAAGAUAAAUUCGAGCAAUCCGAUCUUAAAUUCCAAAAAGUGUGGUGUUUCAUAAGAGCGCAGAACCAUCAUGGUCUUCAACUUUUCAUCCUUGGAUCUCACCGAAGAUCCUCCCGAUUUCGAUCCAGAUUCGCCGCCUGCUUCUCAGUCAUCAACGAAGUGUCUGCCGCUUAAUUUUGCUGGCCGCAGUUUCAUCAAAGCUAUAACACCCCGCCAGGUCGUUGCUGGUGCUUCUCUGCGCUUGGCCAAUUCCGCUUCCAAGUUUGGUUGCUGGAGGCCAAGCGAAUCGCUCCAAUGUCCAGAGGCAGGACGCCUCAAAAGGUUCACUUUCCGCGAGCUGAAGGUCGCUACCAACAACUUCAGCGAGACAAAGAAGUUGGGUCAGGGUGGGUACGGUUAUGUGUACGAAGGAGCCUUGGGGGACGGCUCGAGGGUGGCGAUAAAAAGACUCAAUAGACGUGCCUCUCAGCCAUGGGCAUUCCAUGCUGAAGUUAAAGUGGGGAACAUGACCUGCCAUCGGAAUCUGAUUGGGGUUCUAGGGUUUUGUUCGUCGACGAAACAUAGAGAACAAAUGCUUGUGUACGCUUUCAUGCCCAACGGAAGUCUAGACUCCCUUCUAAGAGGACAGUCAACAAAGAAGAUCCAACUUGAUUGGCCCACCAGGAAGAAGAUAGCAAUUGGAGCUGCGAGAGGGAUCUCCCAUUUGCAUGAUCUGAGGAUAAUUCACAGGGACAUUAAACCUGGUAAUAUACUUUUGGAUGAGAAUUUUGAGGCUCGUGUUGCAGAUUUUGGGAUGGCCUUGUUCAUGGACGAGUACAAAGAGAAGGCUGUUUCCGAAGGAGGACCCAACGGUGAAGAUGAUUAUUUUACCGACUACGCAAUGGGAACGCUUGGUUACAUGGAUCCGGAGCGCUUUCUUGGAAGAAACGCGGUAAAGAGCGAUGUUUAUGGGUUUGGUGUGACGCUUCUUGAGCUCAUAAGUGGUCGUAGAGCUAGGGAAACAACCUGCCUCGAUGGAAAUGAACUGGGGCUGCCUCAAUGGGCACGCGCCCUUUUAAAGGAGCAACAGUUGGAAAGGCUAGUCGACACCAACAUGCCGAGCGGCUACGACAAGAGUGAAUUCGAGAAAAUUGUGCGUCUGGCUCUACUUUGCACGCAAUUCGACCCCAAAAAGCGGCCUUAUAUGGCUGAAGCAGUCCUAUUUCUUGAAGGAAUUAUUGGCUUGGAGAAAAGAUGGGAGGAGUAUCAACAUGAAGACGGAUUAUCUGGCCCAAAUAAUCUCUCAAGUUCGAGCGACUCUUCUUCUUGUUCAAGGGAAGAUGACUUAUCUGGUCCUAGAUGAUCCUUCCAAGAACCAGUUGCUCGACAUUCACCUGUGAGAUUGUGGCUGCCUCAGCUUAGAGCGUUAUACCAUAUAUCAUUGAAUCCUUUUUGCCCUGUUCAAGUGUAUUUACCUUUAUAUCGUUAUCAUAUUGAUAACAUUCUUCUCAUGUUUUGCCUUAAAUUGUCAAUCUUAGAGAAGCUACGUCAGCAGCAAAUGUAACCCGUGGAAGUAGCGCCCCUAUCCGCGUAUUUAAGCCAAAUGCAUGUUGCUGUCAUCUAUGUAUUAUGCGAAUACUGUAAUAUAUUUUAGCUUUAAAGAGGGAAAAAAAGGGCAUUGGUAGAAACUCUCAAUAUCUGUUCAUGCCAAUUUAGCUCAUAAAAUGACACCCAUAUUGAAGACACUUUCAAUUCUUUGAGAGUAUAUGUUUGAAUUGCAACGGUUUAUAACGAGUUAGGAUGUUUUGUUGUAAUAAGAGCAAAAUGUUGUGAAUUUGGACUUUUCCAAUUGCAGUGACUUGCAGUGUUUUAUUUAUAGUCACGACCGGUCAUUGUAAACAAAGACAAAACACCGUAAAUUUAUGUUCCUUCUUUUUGUGUUUUUUCUUUCCAGUUACGACAUAAGGAUUCGUUGCAAUCAAGAACAAAAUUUGUAAAUUUUUUAAUCAACACGGUUUUUAAUAAUUUACGAGGUUACAUCGUAGUUUGAAUUUUUUAAAAGCUUACAAAGGUAUGCAAUCAUCCGUCCUGAUCAAUAACGUAGCGUCCAUCUUCUAACGGGUUGUGUCACGCCCCGAUCCUCGAGCGCAUGCCCAUCCCUCUCUGGUCGAUAAAAACUAUGCUAUGCGACUUCCCAGGACGAGUCGCCGACCCUUUUAUUUUAUUGCAUAUGCGGAAGCAAAUAACAAAUCCCCUAACAGUAACUAUCUCGGGAUAGAAAAACAGGAUAUCACAUUCACAAAAAAACCACACUUUUAUAAACAUACUGAGUCUUUUACACAAGUCUAUAACCAAAAGACUAGUUCUCAAAAAGAGGUUGUCCUAUCUGACCUACUCUUCAGGUCACCUUAGCUUAGCUCCAGGUCCUUUCUCUACGGCCUUGAAAAUUUUAAACCCACGACGGGGUGAGAUAUAAAUCUCAGCGAGUUCACGGUCUAAGCCCCAAUUAGGAGGGAAAUACACCUGGAAGUGUUCUAACCACACAACUACUCAAUUGGCACAAAAGACUUACCUCGCCUUAGUUUCGUUCCUGCAUGUCAGUACAGUUCAUAUCACAAUGCAUAUAAUUAAUGCACAUAACAACUGGAACACCUCAUCAAUUCAAUUAAUCACUAGGGUCCUGAUUAUAAGGUCAAACCAUUAUGACACGUCCCAUUUCAUAUCACACAGUUUUUGUCUCAUAAUCGGGUGCAUCAAACUCAACAAUCACGCGGUCCAAGUGUUAAUUACACCCCUUAAGGGUACGGCCAACUCCAAUAUUGGCGGUCUUUUGGCAUUACCAGGCAUCGUCUCACCUCCUUUGAGCAUGGCAACGUCUCUCGAUUAGACGGCUUUCCCGAAGGGGCGUAGGUCUAGAAUCUACUGCGACCCGAGUCCUAAUAAAUGGGUAACAUUCGGCUUAACAGCCUAGGACGGUUUCUCUUAACCAACACACGACCAAUCAAUCUCGGCCUAAGACACUGUGCAUUGCACUCAAAUAUCUCAAUUAAAAUAGUGAACCUGACAUAUUUUCUUCGAUUAAAAAAACAAGAUAAAAUAGUCGUGUGUGGGUAUACGGUCAAUUCACACUAGAAAAAUUGAUAUCCUCCAAUUUAAAAUCCCACUGGUUUAUAUAGUACAUAAAACCAUUUUUGGUGUUAAAACCCGACACCCGAGAUUUUCUGAAUAAAUAAUGAAUUUCACAAAUUUUGGAAUUAAAUACUCAAAAUUCCAAUCAGCACUCAAUUUGCACAAAUUAACAUCCAAUUGCAUAAAUUGAACACAUUGCAAUCAGCACGAAAUUUCGGUCACCGGUUAUCCCGGCCUAAUUUCCGGAAAAUAAUUAAUAAUUAAAUAAAUUAUCAGAAAUUAAAUAAAUUACAAAAUAAAUAAAUUUAAAGCAUUUAAUUAAAUUUACCUAAACUAACUAAACUAAAUAAUCUAACUAACUAUUAAAUCUAACCAUCCUAUAUAAUUUAAUCUAAGUACACUAACUAAAUAAACUAACUAAUUCCUAACUAAUCCAUCUAAUUAAACUAAAUAAACUAACUAACUAACUAAUAACUAUAUACUUAAUCUAACUAAGCCAUCCUAAACCUAAUCAACAUAAUUAAUCCACAAAUUAGCUAACUAACACAUCUCUAAGUGUCAUUAGCCCACUAAUAAAGGAUUAGAACGCAACUCACCGAUUAAGCCCGAAAAUUGGCUCACGGCAACGGCGGCACGACGGCGGCCAAGACUUAAGCUCACGGCGAGGCCGGCGGGAGCUUGGACCGGCUGAAAUCAGCCAACAAAGCCUACGGUUCAAGACCGAAGGAGCUGGAUUUUCCUCGGUUGAACUUGCGGUGGACGCGGCAACAAAGCUUGGCUUCGUGGAGACGGCGAGCUGGAGAGAUGCGGUCAACAAGCAAAGCAAGUUGUCUUCGUGGCCGCGCGAAGAGAAGACCCGGUGAUGCUUCGGUGGAAGGGAACGGCGAGAUGUGGGGGUUUCACGGUCAACAAAACAGAGAGGCUUCACCGGUUUGACUAAGAAACGUGUGGGGUUGAGGGAAAAUUGGUGAAGGUGGAAUCGUGUGAGUGGGUGGGGGAGUCUGGGUGAAGGGUGGUGGUGCAGGUGUCGAUGGAUAGAAAGAAAACGUGGAGAUGCUUCGGUCUUCACGGCAGCUUGAAGCUCACGGGUAAGAGGGAGAGUUUUGAUGGAGCAGCCCGUGAAAGUGAGGGGUGAAAAUGAAGGAAAAAUCAAAGUAAGCAGAAGCUGAAGGCGUCGCACGAAGGAGACCGAGGCAGCGGUCUUGGCAACGUGGAGGAAGCUGCACCGAGAGAAAUGAAAAGGAAGCAGUGUCGUGGAGAGCAGCUGGAUUGAUCGGUCAAAGAGAUUGGAACAAAGGAAUUGGUCAAACACAAAUAUCUAGGCAUUAAAAGUUUAAAACCUUGUCCCCCUAUUUCUUUCUAACAAAUAUAAUCCAAGAAUUAACCAACUUAAUGCCAAAAAUCAGCCUUCAAGCCAAAGCUCUGAAUUUCACAUUUUUGGCACUCAACUUCGGCUUCAAUUUCUUCUCCGAUUCCUCCAAUUCAAAGUCCCAUUUCGUUGAAGAAAAAGUCCACAAAAUUUCUAUGAGUCCCCAACAUCCUAAAGCUCGGCUUAGAAGUCAAAAUUCCCUUCAAAUGAGCUAAACUGAAUUUCCGUUCGAUUUCCAAAUCGAUUUUCUGUAAAAAUCUCGGAAUCUCCGAAAAAUCUUCGAAUGAUGAGUUGAUGUUCUUAAAAUAGCUCGUGACACCACAGAAUUUUCAAUUUCUAAAAUCGGAUUCAAAUUCAUAGUUACUUUCACUUCGACGUGCUUUUAGCGUGACCCAAUCUACUGGGUAACUUUUAGGAAUUUUUGGUGCAAUUGACUCGUGAUCGAUUUAUCUCGAGUCACAAUGUACAUCUUCGACACAUUGACGACUCUCAAUUGUCGUGAAAAUCUCAAUGUUUCAUUUAUAGGCACCGGGUACCAAAACGAUAGAAAAAUCGAUCUAGUGCCGAUCGACGAGUAUUUGAAAUCAGGUGGAAUCACCCACAUUCUGAUCACAUACCUCAAUCGAAUUGAUCUAUCUUUGGUCUCUGAUCAAUUUUUGAUAGUGCCGUAAUGACCCUUACAAAUCAACACGGUCGAGCAGUCGAUUCCUGGUCGAAUUCUCAAGUCCAUUACAUUUAGAUUCCUUAGUUGCUUCCCCAAAUAGUCUAGUUAUCCCGUAAGUGGCCAACUCAGGAAAUAGAACUAUCAGCGCGUCGAUGAAAGGCCCGAUUUAUUUAAUUAAAAACCAAAUAUGAAAAUUCAGGAUGUCACAGGUUGGACGUCAAAUCUUUUAUGAAAAUUGGCGACUAGUCGCAACUAGCUCAAAUCCAAUGGCCAUGAUCUUUCUAUCUCAAUCUAGCAGUAGAUAUAUGUGGGGUUACGAUACAACGAUAUACUUUAAAAGUCCCAGUGUUAUUAUGUCUUUCUUUCAUUGCUGAAAUGUUUUCUUUUCUCUUUUGGUCGAACAUUGUUGAAUUUUUUUUUUUCAUUGCUGAAAAGCUCUAAUCAGCAAAAAGGGGGAAAUUAUCCAUAAAGUCCUAAACCUAUUACACUUUUGUCAAUUCAAUUCUAAAUAUUUUUACUUCUUGCUAAUUGAGUCCAUUCAGUCAAUUUUGAUUUGAAAUUGCUAAUGUGGCCGGUCAGCGCUAACCUGUCACUUUUUAAUAAUUUUUUAAUUAUUUUUUACUUUUCUCUUUUAUUUUGGGUUUGGGGUUAGGGCCGGCAAGGGUUGUUGUGCGGAAGAACACCCUAACUAGAUGAGAAAAGUUAACAAGAAUAAUUAAGAACAUGGAGAUUUACGUGGUUCGGCGAAAGAUCUGCCUACGUCCACGGGAGAGAGAGAGACGAUUACUUAUUUGAACGUAUUUCAAGAGUACAAGGUACAAUGCUGAAAUAAAUAGAUCUUUAGAUCCCCACUUUCCUAAACCUAGUAGGAAAGGAAUUCCACCAUAAAGAUACUAUCAAAUUUAAAACCCAAAUCUAGGAAAUAUAUUAGGAAACAAAUAGUUCAAAAUCUUCAAGCCUUCCUAGAUUUCCCAAUUGAAUUUGUGGAAUUCAAGACAAUAUUAGCAAAUCUCCACCUUUGGCUUGAAUAAACCACAAGCCUCCACUUGAACCAAGAAAACGAACAUAUCUCUCCCUCCACCGUACCUUCGCAAAGGUACGCCCGCACCUGGAUCGGUGCGGCCUCCAUCAACUUCAAUGAUGAGUGAGAGAAAUCAAGUCCCUGCAAGACUUGAACUUCUCUGUAGUAACUGUCUUCGUGAGCAUAUCCGCGGGAUUAUCUUUAGUAUGGAUUUUCUUCAAAGCAAUGCUACCAUUCUCCACAAAUUCUCGAAUUUUGUGGUACCGAACUUCAAUGUGUUUCGUUCUAGAAUGGAACACUUGAUUAUUUGCGAGACAUAUUGCACUCUGGCUAUCGCAAUAUAAUGUAGCACUUUCUUGCUUUAUACCCAACUCUGUGACCAAACCAGUCAGCCAUAUUCCCUCCUUCGCAGCCUUAGUUACUGUCAUAUACUCAGCUUUGGUUGUAGACAAUGCUACAGUAGGUUGAAGCAUUGCCUUCCACGAAAUAGCUCCACCACCAAGUGUAAAGACAUAUCUUGUGAUGGACCUUCGCUUGUCCAAAUCACCAGCGAAGUCUGAAUCAACAUAACCUGCUAAAUCGAUCGAUCCUCCCUUGGAACUGAACAUUAAACCCAUUCCAAUAGUUCUAGCCAAAUAACGAAAGAUCCACUUAACAGCUUCCCAAUGCUCCUUACCCGAAUUGCUCAUGUAUCAGCUAACGAGACUCACCGCAUGAGCCAAAUCCGGUCUGCUACAAACCAUAGCAUAUAUGAGGCUCCCUACUGCACUGGCAUAGGGUACUCGAGACAUCUUUACAACUUCCUCAUGUGAAAUAGGGCAUUGUUUCUCAGAUAAUUUGAAGUGAUUUGCUAACGGUGUACUAACCGGUUUAGCUUUACCCAUGUUGAACCGCUCCAAGACCUUCUCAACAUACUUCUUUUGAUUCACCCAAAACUUACUUGCAUGUCUAUCUCGAAAGAUUUCCAUGCCAAGGAUCCUCUUUGCAGCACCAAGAUCCUUCAUAUCAAACUCACUACUUAACUGAGACUUUAGGGAAUUAAUGUCUCUCAUUUUUCUUGCAGCAAUCAACAUGUCAUCAACAUAGAGUAUCAACAUAAUAAGCAACUUAUCAUCCAAAACUUUGUAGUAGACACAAGAAUCAUGCACACUCCUCAUGUAGCCAAUACGAAGCAUAAAAGAAUCAAACCUUUUAUUCCAUUGCCUCGGAGAUUGCUUCAAACCAUAAAGUGAUCUCUUGAGCAAACAAACAUGAUCCUCUUUCCCUUCCACCUUGAAGCCUUCGGGCUGCUCCAUAUAGAUUUUCUCCUCCAAGUCACCAUGAAGGAAUGCCGUCUUCACAUCUAGCUGCUCAAGCUCCAAGUCAUACAUGGCUACCAUAGCUAGUAAAACACGAAUUGAUGUGUGUUUUACAACUGGGGAAAAUAUCUCGUCGUAAUCAAUCCCCUCCUUUUGUGCAUAGCCCUUAGCAACAAGUCGGGCCUUGUAUCUCUCUUGCUCUUUCUCCGUUGCUGCUUCCUUUUUUCGAAGAACCCAUUUGCAACCAAUGACAUUCUGAUCCUUGGGCUUAUUCACAAGUUCCCAUGUCUCAUUCUUUUGUAACGAUUCCAUCUCCUCCAUCAUUGCAGUCAUCCACUUUUCUUUGUGAUCACUUUUCAAAGCUUCAUGGUAGGAGCCUGGAUCGCCAGAGCCUACGGUAAGAGCAUAAGCAACCAUAUCCUCAAAACCGUACCUCUCCGGUGCUUUGGGAGUGCGCCUUCUGAGAUAGCUAGUAUAGUCACCUAGAGGGGGGUGAAUAGGUGCACAAACAAGUUUUCGAGAUACGAAAGCGAUUUUAGGCAAUCGAUAGAAAGGAAAAUACGAUCAAAGUAAAGUAAAGGAUAGGGAAGAGAGAAAUGAACACAAGAUUUAUAGUGGUUCGGCUUAUUCCAAGCCUACGUCCACUCUUCCGCACUGACAACCCACCGGCUGGAUUUCACUAUGAACAAAAGAGAAGUUACAGCACAGCUUUUCCUUGAUUCCAUAGUGUAGAUGUUCUACCACACUUCCUCAAGGUUUCUCACGAAUAUAGACUCUCUUUUGUUUACACGAUUAUGCUCAACAAAUGACUUGACUAGAAACAAGGAGCUUCAGACUUUGGAAUUAUUCUCUCAUACACCUUCUCGAACAACUAUAACGUCUUCCUUAUAUACUCCUUCAUGCCAUCAUAUCAGUUGGCACUUACCAAAGGAAUUCAUCCAAUCUACCCGUUGGACGGAAUCAAUUAGGAAGAUCAUUCGAGCUAUUAAAUGAACAUGUCGAUAGCCCAUCAAUCCUGUUCGCCCAUACAAUUAGGAUCUCGGUUUCCAUAAGUAGAACCUUCCAAGUAAACUUUGCCAAUCAUCGGAUCCUUGAUAUUCGAAUCAAUUGUGAUCAAAUAAAGAAUUCUGUUAUGUCACAUCCAGCCAAGAGAUCUUCUCCAAUCGAUAAGGCCACAUCCUUAAUGAAACAUCUAGUUCUGGAUAGCCUUUCUUCAACGGAUUAGAAACUGUCAAUGAGGAUAGACUUUGAGUCUUGAGUCUGGCUGUCCGGAGGUCUUCAGACUUUAAAUAGUAGAGUCUGCAAUCCUUCAGACUAGACUGAUGGAAACGUUUUGUCAACUUCAAAACACUUCAAGAGGAAUUUCUCCAACAAUCUCCCCCUUUUUGAUGGUGACAAAACUUUCCUGUAGAUUUGGAAAACUUUGACCUGCAAAACAUUUCUCAAGCACAUAUGCAUAUCUUAUAGAUUAAAAUGGCUAAAUGAAUAACACUAGAAUAACACUAGAAUCUGCAACCACAGAAAAUAGGUUAGUCCAGUAUGCAGUAAACCCAUCCAUAAGACAUCAAUAGUAGUUAAUAAUAAGCAGUCAAAUCCAAAUCCCAAAUUUAGUCCACAUCCAGACACAAGUCAAAUCAAAACAAACCACAAACCAAACAAGCCAAAAGUUUAAGUUCAAAGUUUUUCAAGUUGCGACUAAAUUCUCCCCCUUUUUGUUAGCAUAAAAAAGAUUGAGAUGAAAAUGAAGUCAAGGAUUAUUGGGAAUACGAACAAGCUGAAAAUCUCCCAUCGACUGAACGAUGCCUUCCAGCCUUUUAAAGUCUUCCUUCAGUUGAGCAACAUCCUCACCCUUAGCAUUAGCCUGAAUCUGAAGAGAAAGGGCUUGGAUUUGAUCAUUUAAUGAACCCGAAGAGACUUGUCCUGCAUUCUGCAAGUUCUGAACUUCACAUCCCAAUGCAUAUAUCUGACCUUGCAUUUCCAAGAGAAUAUCCAUCAAUCUGCGAAAGUCUGCUGAAUUUUCGGUCUGCGUACUGGCAUUAGCAUGAUUUGAUGGAGUAAAUGCAGACGAUGGUAGAUCAGCAUAAUCACGCAGAUUUGGCGAAGAAACCUCAUGACCUUCCUCAGGAAACUGAGAGGCAAAAACCUCAUUUGGAUCUGCUGGGGAUCGACUGACUCCCUCACUGGUUGCAGGAUUUGAGGUCAUUCCUCUUUUCUCUUGGUCUCCCCCUGUGUCUAUGCCUUCAGGUGGAGAGCGCUCCUCAUGUUCUCCUUCUUCUUGAUCUCUUUGCUCUUCUUCUUCUUUUUCAACUCUCUCUUGCUCAGCAUCUCUUUCUUCUUCUUCUUCUCUUUCCUCUGUUUCUUUUUCCUCUGCCUCUUUCUCUGCUCUUUCUUCUGUCUACUGUUCUGACUCUUUCUCUGGAACAGAUUGACUGAGAUUCUUCAAAGCAGAGAUAGUGAUGUUAUCCUCAUCAUCUUCAUCCUCAACGAGGAGAGCUCUUUUUCUCUUGGAUGGAGCAUCCAUGGGCUCCUUCCCUUUCCUUUUUCCUGCAGAAGAGAAUUGAUGAGAUUUGACUGGAGUCUUCUCCUUAAAUUUCUCCAAUGCCUUGCUUAGUUCCUUCAGACGCAUCUUGGUCACCAUUUUCAGUCCUACCACCUUAUGAUCGCACGAUCGAGCACAAAGAAUUUGCGGAGGCUGAAUGUUCAGAUGUCUGAAUAACUUUGUUACAAGACCUGGAUAAGGAAGUUGUCUUCUAUCCUUCAUCACAGCUCUAUACAUAUGGAACAUAACAGUGUGAGGAAGUGAAAACCUUUUCCCAGUGAUGAUGGCAUACAUUAGCUUUGCCUCUGAACUUGAGACAUCAGUCUUGGAAGUUGAUUUCGGUUUGAGGCAAUUAAUUACAAUUUUGUGUAGCAAGAUGUUAAAUGCACUCAUCCUUGAAUAGGAAAUCUUUCCCUCUGUUUUCCUGUCUUUAACAAGUUCCAGAGUAGUACGAGCAAUAGAAACUUUGAUCCGUUGAUACCUUCCUCUCUCAACUCCUAACACAUCUGCCAGCAUAUCCAUAUCCACAACAAAGUCUUGAUCUUUGACACUGAAGGAGAAUCUAUUCGCAUCCAAGAAACUAAGAUUUGAAUAGAAAUAUGCAGAUAGUUGAGGAUAGGCCUCUGUGGAGUCAGAGCAGAAUUUCUCAAGUUGAAGAUGACCAAACUUUUCCCUUAGGUUCACAUUUACAGCAUCCAGAAAGUCAAAAUCUACACUCCUAGGGUUUAUCACCCCACGCUUCAGCAAUUUUGAGUAUAGAUCCAUAUGUUCCUUCGAUCUAAACAACUCUCCCAUUUUUCCUCGAUUUUCUCCUAGGGUUUAUCACCCCACGCUUCAGCAAUUUUGAGUAUAGAUCCAUAUGUUCCUUCGAUCUAAACAACUCUCCCAUUUUUCAUAUCAUUUGUCCUUAAGAAAAUCAUCCACAUAGUUCAACGGAGUACCAGUCCCUUUUAAAGCACGAUACAACUUAUAAAUAAAAGAGGGCCUUUGAACUCUUACAGGGUAUGCAUCUUCAAUGAUUUCUUCAUUUUGAUGAUGAUCCCUUUUAAAGCACGAUACAACUUAUAAAUAAAAGAGGGCCUUUGAACUCUUACAGGGUAUGCAUCUUCAAUGAUUUCUUCAUUUUGAUGAUGAUCAACAUCUUGAGGACUAGAUGGAGGAGAAUGAUGCUGCUGAGAAUGUUGUGGGCUCUGCUGCUGAUUUGGAGACACUUCAUCUUCAAUGAGGUCGAAGUGCGUAGGCCCCUCACUCAUUCGCCGUGGUCCCCUGCUUGCGAUCCUCGAAGACUUUCUUGAAGACGACAUCUUUCUUAGUCUUUGAAAGAUUCCUUGCUUGACUUUCCCAAGAAAGAUGACAACUUUUUCGAAGAUUAAACAAGAGAAGAAAACAGGAAUGGAAGAUUGGUGCUUUUUAGGGUUUUGGAGUUAAGCGAGGAGAAACCAAUUAUAUAUGAGACAGUCGUAAGGAGGGGAUACCAAUCGUCGUAAUGGUAAAUGAAAAAAAAAAUGCAUUUUUAAAAAAAUAACUGCCUUUUUCGAAAAAUAGUUACAUCAAAAUAACUUCUUUUUCUAAAAGAAACGAUGCAAUAAUUUCGUCAAUUAAAGAUAGCGAUUGAGAUAAUCAACACGGUUGAUCAACGUACCUUUUCAAAAUGAGAUUAGAGAGAGAAUAACUUACAGUCAAAGUCUUGCAGUCAAAGUCUUAUAGUCUGAGUCUGAGAGUCUCUAGACUUUAACUUCUUCAAAGUUCAAAAUGUUGAGUCUUGAACGAAUAAUUUCAAAUUGAUUUUUCUCCAAAGGCUUUGUAAAUAUAUCCGCUAGUUGGUUCUUUGAGUCAACAAACUGAAUCGAAAUUUCUCCAUUUUGAACAUGAUCUCUAAUGAAGUGAUGUUGAAUCUCUAUAUGCUUUGCUCUUGAGUGAAGAAUUGGAUUUUUGGUGAGAUUGAUUGCGCUGGUGUUGUCACAUUUAAUCUUCGUGCAUGAAUCUUCAAUUCCGAAAUCUCUUAGCUGUUGUUUUAUCCACAGAAUUUGUGAACAACAACUUCCAAGGACUACAUAUUCUGCUUCUGUUGUAGAGAGAGCUACUGUACUUUGCUUUCUUGAAAACCAAGACACUGCCCUGCCUCCAAGUAGUUGACAGGUACCUGAGGUGCUCUUUCUAUCAACUCUGCAUCCGGCUAAGUCUGCGUCUGAGUAUCCAAGAAGAGUAAAGUCUCCCCUUUUAGGAUACCAGAGACCGAAGCUUGAAGUUGAUGCAAUAUAUUUGAUAAUACGCUUUGCAGCAGUUAAAUGUGAUUCUUUAGGGUCUGCUUGAAAUCUGGCACAAAUGCAAACACUAAACAAAAUAUCAGGUCUAGAAGCAGUAAGAUAAAAAAGUGAACCAAUGAUACUCCUGUAUAACUUUUGGUCGACUUUCUUUCCUCCUUCAUCUUUAUCUAUCUUCACGGAGCUUGACAUUGGUAUAUCAGACUUUUUGCAAUUGUUCAAUCCAAACUUCUUCACAAUAUCAUUAGCAUAUUUUUCUUGAUAAAUAAAAGUUCCUUCCUUCAAUUGUUUUACUUGAAGUCCAAGAAAGAAGGUUAACUCACCCAUCAUGCUCAUUUCAAAUUUAUCCUGCAUAGUCUUAGAGAAUUUCUUGCACAGACUUUCAUUAGAGGAUCCAAAAAUAAUAUCAUCGACAUAUAUUUGAACAAGUAGAAAACUCUUGCUUUCUCUUUUAAUGAAAAGAGUAGUGUCUACUUUACCUUUAACAAAUCCAUUUUCAAUUAAAAACUUAUUCAGUCUGUCGUACCAAGCUCGAGGGGCUUGUUUCAAGCCAUAUAGAGCCUUUUUGAGUCUGAAUACUGAGUCUGGUUUCUUUGGGUCUUCAAACCCAGGUGGUUGUUCCACAUAGACUUCCUCUUGGAUGAAUCCACUUAAGAAGGCACUUUUGACAUCCAUUUGGAAUAACCUGAAAUUCUUAUAACAAGCAAAAGCAAGUAAUAAUCGAAUUGCUUCUAACCUUGCUACUGGUGCGUAAGUCUCGUCAUAGUCUAUCCCUUCUUCUUGUGUAUAUCCCUUGGCCACGAGUCUUGCAUUGUUUCUUAUGACUUUUCCUUUCUCGUUCAUCUUGUUCCUGAAAACCCAUUUAGCUCCAAUAACAUAUUUACCUUUCGGUUUAAGAGUUAAUUCCCAGACAUCAUUAACUCUGAAUUGCCUGAGCUCUUCUUGCAUAGCUUCAAUCCAGCUUUCAUCAGAUAAAGCUUCUUCUAUGCUUUUGGGUUCUAUUUCAGAAAUAAGAGCCACAGCACUAGACUCUUCACGCCUUUUGGAUCUUGUGUGAAUUCCUUCAUUGAUGUCGCCAAUUAUAAGAUCUUUGGGAUGACUGGACUUAUGUUUCCAGUUGCUGGUUAAUUUGUCAGAUUGAUGGUCACUUUCUUCACUUGAAUCUUCAACAGUCACUUGUUGCUGGUCCUUCAAAGUCUGAGCUAUUUUAGACUUUGUAAAGUCUGGAGCAGGUUCAGAUUCUUCAAGAUGAGUCUGAAUGGAUUCAUUUUGCAUAGAAUCCUGGAAUUUAACAUUCAUUGAUUCUUCCACUAUUUGAGUCUUCUUGUUGUAGACUCUGUACGCUUUGCUUGUGAUUGAAUAUCUAAGGAAGAUGCCUUCUUCUGAUUUUUCUUCAAACUUUCCAACUCGAUCAUUUGCAUUUUUCAGUAUAAAACAUUUGCAUCCAAAUACAUGAAAAUAUGAAGGCUUCUUUUCUUUGAAUAGUUCAUAGGGAGUUUUUUCCAGAAUAGGCCUUAGAAAGACUCUAUUUAUAAUGUAACAUGCUGUAAAAACUGCUUCAGCCCAGAAAUGUGAAGAGAUGUUACUUUCAAUUAAAAGAGUUCUAGCCAUUUCUUGAAGAGAUCUAUUCUUUCUUUCCACAACUCCAUUUUGCUUUGGGGUAUAUGGAGAGGAGAAUACAUGCUGAAAACUAGAUUCAUCACAGAAUUUUGUAAAGUCAUGAUUUUCAAACUCACCUCAAUGAUCUGUUCUUAUACUCGAUAUAACAUACCCUUUUUCAUUUUGAACCUUUUUAGCAAACUUUUCAAAGUGAGAGAAGGUUUCAGACUUACUUGCCAAGAAAUAUACCCAAGUGAAUCGUGAGUAAUCAUCCACAAUUACCAGGCAGUAUUUCUUACCUCCAAUGCUUUGCGUUCUGGUUGGUCCAAAAAGAUCCAUAUGCAAAAGCUGCAGUACACGGUUAGUGGAAACUUGAUUUAUUGGUUUAAAGGAAUUUCUUACCUGUUUUCCCAAUGUACAUGGUGUACAUAGAUCAGACUUUUGAUAUGAUAAAUUGGGUAGUCCACGAACAAGCUUCUUUGCUGAGAUUUUGGCUAUUUGCUUCAUAUUGACGUGCCCAAGCUUUCUGUUCCAUAAGUUUGCUUCGUCUUGGAUUGAGAUUAGACAUUGUGAUUCAUCUGGUUUCACAUCCAAGAGGUAGAUAUUUCCAUGUCUUCGACCCAUGAAUGACUGAGUAGAAUCUUUACUAAUUCCAGAACAUAUUCUCUCUUGAAAGUUGAUUUUGAAACCAGUAUCACAUAGCUGACUAAUACUGAGCAAAUUGUAAUUGAGCCCUUCCACUAAGGAAACAUUGCUUAUUUUGAGAUUUCCAAUCUUUACAGUUCCAAAUCCCACAAUUUUUCCUUUGCUGUUUCCUCCAAAAGACACUUUUCCACCAUUUACUUGAACAAGCUUUAUGAAGUAAUUUGAGUCUCCUGUCAUGUGUCUUGAGCAUCAACUAUCAAGAUACCAUUUUACAUUUUUCUUGAUAGUGACCCGCAUUUAAAAAAGAAAUUCAAGCCUUCUUUGGUACCCAUAUUUUCUUGGGUCCAUUGGUGUUAGUAUGAUAUGUAGUUUUUGCCCAUACCUUUUUAACAGGUUUCCAAAUCAUAGGACAUUCUUUUUCAAAAUGAUCUGCACUAUUGCACUUUGAGCAUCUGAGAGCAUUACGACCUACUGGUUUUACAAAGAUUCUUUUAAAAUGAUUUUUGUAAGCAUCUCUUGUGGGUCUUUGUUUGAUUCUUUCUUUCACCUUAGGAAAAUCAAUUAAAGGAAUGGUUUCAUCAGUCAUUCCCAAACCAGAUUUAUUAAAAUAAGGUCUUUGAACAGAAAGAAUUUUUUCUAGUUUCUCAUAUCCUAUAGAAAAUCUUUUGGAAAUAUUUGAGAUAUCUCUUUUUAAGAAUGCAUUUUCUUUUAACAAAUUAUCUUCACUUUCUUUAAGAGAAGAAACAUUCUUGUCUAAACUUUUCACUUUUUCUUUCAAAAUAUUUUCCUGUUGUUUUAGAGCAGAAUUUUCUUUCUUGAGUUCGUAAAUUCUUUUAAGAGAAGUCUUAAGACUGAAACACAAUUCAUCAAUAUACUUUGAAACCUUAAUAGGGAUUUUGAAGUUACUUACUUCAAAUUCGCUUUCUGAGUCUGAAUCUGUCUCGGAAUUUGAAUCUGAAUCCGAUUGUGCCAUCAGACAUAUAUUGGCAUAAUCAUCAUCACUUUCUUCACACUCUGUAUCACUCAAGGUUUCAGCUUUAAGAGCUUUUCGGUACUUUUAAGUCUUUCCUUUCUUCUUCCUCAGAAUAGGACAGUUGGGUCUGAUGUGUCCCUUUUUCUUACAUUCAAAGCAGACUAUAUCUUUGUUUGAUUCAUCAUCCUCAAUAGACUUAGUCUGUUGCUUUUGAAAGCUUUGUUUCUUUGGAUUGAAUCUUCUUCCUUUUCUGUUCAGCUUUCUGAAUCUUCUUAUCAUGAGAGCAAGUUCCUCAUCAUCCAUAUCGUCUUCAGAAUCUGUAGCAUCAGAAUCAUCAUUAGAUUUUAACGCAAUGGAUUUCUUACCUUUAGGGUCUUCGUCUUCAUUGAUUCAUUCCACUUCAUAAGACUGAAGAGUCCCAACCAACUCAUCAACAGAUAGAGGCAUUAUUCUUUGGGUCUCUCUGAUUGAGGUCUUUAUGUGAUUCCAAUCCUUGGAGAGUCCACGCAGUAGCUUGUUUACUUUCAUGGGAUCAGAAAUUGGUUGACCUUGAUUUUCAAGACCGUUCACAAUAUCUGUAAAAUGACUAAACAUAUCAAUUAUAGAUUCUCCUGGUUUCAUUUUGAAGGCUUCAUAUUGGCCGAGGAGAAUGUUGAUUCUAGUCUCUUUCACUCGAUCGGUUCCUUCAUAAGUAAUAUGUAAUCUAUCCCAGACUUCUUUAGUUGUAACACAAGAAGAUAUUCUGUUAUAUUCAGUAGGAGAUAAAGCACAAUAUAAGGAAUAAAUUGCUUUUGCAUCAAGAGCUUGUCUCUUGAUUUUCUCUUCCUGAGUCAUUUCACUAGACUCAACAACAUCUUUUCCUCUUUCUAAGACAGAUGCAGCUUUAGGAAUGAUUCCUUUUUCUACAACGUCCCAUUCCAGAGGAUCCUUUGAUCUUAGGAAUGCUUUCAUCUUGUUCUUCCAUAUGUUCUAAUCCUUUCCAUCAAAGUAUGAUGGUCUGGUAUUACUUUGCCCUUCUACCAGCCCUGGAGCCAACAUACUAGCCAUGGAUCUUUAACUUUGAAGUAAAACACUUCAACAAAAGUGAGUACACAUGCUCUGAUACCAAUUGAGAUAGCUAGUAUAGUCACCUAGAGGGGGGUGAAUAGGUGCACAAACAAGUUUUCGAGAUACGAAAGCGAUUUUAGGCAAUCGAUAGAAAGAAAAAUACAAUCAAAGUAAAGUAAAGGAUAGGGAAGAGAGAAAUGAACACAAGAUUUAUAGUGGUUCGGCUUAUUCCAAGCCUACGUCCACUCUUCCGCACUGACAGCCCACCGGCUGGAUUUCACUAUGAACAAAAGAGAAGUUACAGCACAGCUUUUCCUUGAUUCCACAGUGUAGAUGUUCUACCACACUUCCUCAAGGUUUCUCACGAAUAUAGACUCUCUUUUGUUUACACGAUUAUGCUCAACAAAUGACUUGACUAGAAACAAGGAGCUUCAGACUUUGGAAUUCUUCUCUCGUACACCUUCUCGAACAACUAGAACGUCUUCCUUAUAUACUCCUUCAUGCCAUCAUACCCGUUGGCACUUACCAAAGGAAUUCCUCCAAUCUACCCGUUGGACGGAAUCAAUUAGGAAGAUCAUUCGAGCUAUUAAAGGAACAUGUUGAUAGCCCAUCAAUCAUGUUCGCCCAUACAAUCAGGAUCUCGGUUUCCAUAAGUAGAACCUUCUAAGUAAACUUUGCCAAUCAUCGAAUCCUUGAUAUUCGAAUCAAUUGUGAUCAAAUAAAGAAUUCCGUUAUGUCACAUCCAGCCAAGAGAUCUUCUCCAGUCGAUAAGGCCACAUCCUUAAUUAAACAUCCAGUUCUGGAUAGCCUUUCUUCAACGAAUUAGAAACUGUCAAUGAGGAUAGACUUUGAGUCUUGAGUCUGGUUGUCCGGAGGUCUUCAGACUUUAAAUAGUAGAGUCUGCAAUCCUUCAGACUAGACUGAUGGAAACGUUUUGUCAACUUCAAAACACUUCAAGAGGAAUUUCUCCAACACCUUCCUCGACCCGUCACAGUGGUACGAGGAACUUCUACCGUUUCUUUGACUUCCGGAGCUUCAUCGGAUGACUCGCCAUUCUCUGUAGAUUCUCCGGUUUGAAGCUCCACCUUAACGAUAGAUUUAUCACUCUCCUCUUCAGUAGCCGCGCGUGGCACGCAACUUGACUUCAACAUUGCAGAUUCAUCGAAUAUAACAUCCCUGCUCGUCAAAAUUUUUUUCUCACUUGGAUCCCAUAAUUUGUAGCCUUUCACUCCUUUCUCGUAACCAAGAAAUAUGCAUUGUUUUGAUUUUGGAUCCAAUUUCGAGCGCUUCGAACUCUGCACAUGUACAAAAGCAGGACAACCGAAUAUUCUUAAAUUAGAAUAAUCGACAAUUUUACCAGUCCAUACCUCUUCAGGAAUUUUGCAUUUAAUUGUAGUUGAUGGAGACCAAUUCACAAGAUAACAUGCCAUGCAGACAGGAGGAGAGGGCGUGCAGCGCAAUCCGAUUGAACCUAUCAGAUGAAGCCUUUCAAUAUGUAGUGGAAAUCGAAUCUACUCCGAAGGUAUGGCUCAAACUCGAAAGCAUUUAUAUGACGAAAUCUCUUACGAACAAGUUGUUCUUGAAGAAGAGAUUGUAUUCACUUCAGAUGAGUGAAGGAGGAGAUCUGUUGGAACAGCUUAACGUGUUCAAUAAGAUGAUUAGUGAACUUACAAGCUUGGAGGUAAAGUUUGAGAAUAGUAAAGUUUGAGAAUGAAGACAUAGCGCUUCUACUACUAGCAUCGUUGCCGGAUUCGUUUGACCACUUGGUGACUACGCUCCUUUAUGGCAAGGAAACCCUGGAGAUCGGAGAGGUGACUGCUGCCCUAAUUUCAAACGACACUUGGAAAAGGGCAAGUAGUUCAAAAUCUUCAGGAGAGGGACUCUUUGCAAAGGAGAAAAACAAUCAAGGAAGAGGAAGAUCAACGGAUCGAGGAUCGAGCGGUAGGGGUCGAUCAAAAUCCAAGGGAAGGUUCAAAGGAAGAUGCUACGGGUGUAAUCAGGAAGGGCAUACCAAGAGAUUCUGUCCAAAUAAGAACGAGAAAAAGAAGAAGAGCUUGGAUGAGGCAAGUAUAGCUGACAGCAUUGAGACCAAUGAUGGGGACGUCUUGUCCAUAUCGUUGGGGAAGGACACCUUUGAAGAUUCAUGGAUCAUGGACUCCGGAUGCACUUUUCACAUGUGUCCUCAUCGAGAAGCCUUCAAUGAGUACAAGGCAUAUGAUGGUGGUUCAGUUCUCAUGGGUAAUGAUACUUCAUGCAAGACUGUGGGUGUUGGAACCGUGAAAAUCAAGAUGUUUGAUGGCAUGAUUAGAACCUUGGCAGACGUACGUCAUGUUCCGGGUCUAAGGAAGAAUUUGAUCUCAUUGGGAGCACUUGAAUCCAAUGGAUGCAAGUACACGGCUCAAGGUGGAGUCUUGAAGGUGAUUAAGGGAGCUCUGGUUGUUCUUAAGGGACAGAGGCACGGGAACCUAUAUCGACUUAUAGGAACCACAGUGCAAGGUGGAGCAUCUGUGUCCACGGAUGCUAGCAUGGAGAUAGAUAACACCUAUCUAUGGCAUAUGCAUCUCGGGCAUAUGGGAGAAAGAGGAUUGAUGGAGCUUCACAAGAGAAAUGCACUCAAAGGUAUAAAAACAUGCAAAUUAGAUUUCUGCAAAUUUUGUGUGUUUGGAAAACAAUGUAGAGUACAGUUCAAUGCUGCAACUCAUACAAUCAAGGGCGUGCUCGAGUAUGUACACACGGAUGUAUGGGGUCCUUCACCGGUAAAGUCAAAAGGAGGGAAGGAAUACUUCGUGACAUUCAUUGACGAUUUCUCUCGUAAAGUUUGGGUCUACUUCAUGCGACACAAAAGUGAAGUCUUUGAAAAGUUCAAAGAAUGGAAAGCUGAAGUUGAGACAUCAACGGGGAAGAAGGUUAAGUGCUUGAGAUCGGACAAUGGAGGAGAGUACAAAUCGACACCAUUCAUGGAGCUUUGCAAGAAUGAAGGAAUUAAACGUCACUUCACAGUUCCGAAUACGCCCCAACAAAAUGGCGUAGCGGAAAGGAUGAACCGGACCUUAUUAGAGAGAGCUCGAAGCAUGAGGCUACAUGCGGGACUGAGCAAGGAGUUUUGGGCAGAAGCUGUCUGCAUGGCAUGUUAUCUUGUGAAUCGGUCUCCAUCAACUGCAAUUAAAUGCAAAAUUCCUGAAGAGGUAUGGACUGGUAAAAUUGUCGAUUAUUCUAAUUUAAGAAUAUUCGGUUGUCCUGCUUUUGUACAUGUGUAGUAGUAGAAGCGCUAUGUCUUCAUCCUCAAACUUUACCUCCAAGCUUGUAAGUUCACUAAUCAUCUUAUUGAACACGUUAAGGUGUUCAAACAGAUCUCCUCCUUCACUCAUCUGAAGUGAAUACAAUCUCUUCUUCAAGAACAACUUGUUCGUAAGAGAUUUCGUCAUAUAAAUGCUUUCAAGUUUGAGCCAUACCUCCAGAACAGAUUCGAUUUCCGCUACAUAUUGAAGGGCCUCAUCCGAUAGGUUCAAUCGGAUUGCGCUGCACACCCUCUCCUCCAUGUCAGCCCAAUUAUCAUCAGUGAUGGUGUUCGGCUUGUUUGAUCUUCCCAGAAGAACCUUUGAUAAACCUUGUUGAAUCAACAUAUCCUUCAUCCUUCUCCGCCAUAGUGUAAAACUAUUCUUCCCCGUGAAUCGUUCAAUAUCAAAUCGAACGGUUGAACCUUUUCCAGCCAUCUAGUUAGAAGUCGCAAUACAGGAACGGAGAACCUGGAUUGCUCUGAUACCAAUUGUAGUGCCGAAGAACACCCUAACUAGAUGAGAAAAGUUAACAAGAAUAAUUAAGAACACGGAGAUUUACGUGGUUCGGCGAAAGAUCCGCCUACGUCCACGGGAGAGAGAGAGACGAUUACUUAUUUGAGCGUAUUUCAAGAGUACAAGAUACAAUGCUGAAAUAAAUAGAUCUUUAGAUCCCCACUUUCCUAAACCUAGUAGGAAAGGAAUUCCACCAUAAAGAUACUAUCAAAUUUAAAACCCAAAUCUAGGAAAUAUAUUAGGAAACAAAUAGUUCAAAAUCUUCAAGCCUUCCUAGAUUUCCCAAUUGAAUUUGUGGAAUUCAAGACAAUAUCAACAAGGGUUACUGCCCAACCCUCGCUGGCCACAAUCAAGGGUUAGCUGACCCUUGCUAGCGAAAGCGAGGGCUCAUGAGCCCUUGCCCAGGGCCGGCAAGGGCCGCCAACCUUAUCUCCAAACCCAAAAAAAGGAAGAGAAAAGUAAAAAAUAUGUAUAUUGAAAAUUCAAAAAAAUUAUUAAAAGAUUAUAAAAAAAAAAUGUCAUGUUAGCGCCGGUUGGCCAUGUCAGUAAUUUCUAGCUAAAAUUGACCGCAUAGAUUUAAUUGGGAAGAAGUAAAAGUAUUUAAGACUGAAUUAACAAAAUUAAAAGAUUUAUAACUGAAUUGACAAAAAUAUAAUAAAUUUAAAAAAUUUUGAAAAUUUUUCCCUAUAAACAGGUUAUGUUGUGGUCAUGAAACCGUGAAAAACCGAAAGUAAUAGAAAAGGAAAAAGUUUGACAUUUCAACAUUUUUUUUAUCAACAGAGAAAGAUUAAAAAACAGCAAGGCGGUAAGAGUCAUCUAACAUUGCCACGUGUUAGAAUUUCAUAUGUUGCUGCCUUGUGGACCGUCGGACAUUUAGGGCGCAUUUGGUAACAUUUAUGUUUAAAAAUUAUUCCAGGAAACAGAAAUAGAAAAAAAAUGUUUCUAUUCCAGGGAACAAUUUUUGAACAAAAAAACGCGUUUGGUAAACUUGUUCCGGGAAUAAAAAAUAAACAGAAACACGUUUGGUAAAUUUGUAUAAUUUUUUUAUUUCUUUUAUUUUUUAAUAUUUUUAUUUUAUUUUUUCUAUUUUCUUUCUUAUUUUUCUUAUUUAUUUUUCUUUUUUCUUUUUCCUUUUUUUCUUUUUUCUUCUUUUGGCCGGUCGCCGGCCUCGGCCAUGGCCGGCGGCCUCGCCCAGCCAUGGCUGGGCGGUCACCCAAAGAAAAAAGAAAGAAAAAAGAAGAAGAAAAAAGAGAGAAGAAAAGAAAAAAGUGUUUCUAAAUUUUGUUUCAAAAACAAGAAACAAUUUUUUUUUUUGUUUCUUGUUUCUGUUCCAGAUGUGUUUAUGGGAACAAAAACGCACCUAAACACGUUUCUGUUCCUUUUUUGUUCCCAGGAACAAAAAAACAAAAAAAAUUGUUUAAAAACAGAAAAAAGAAGUGAAAACAAACGCAGCCUUACUUGAUUAGCUUUUUGGCCAAUUUAUUACGUCAGAAGGAGCAAAAUUAAAUUCUUUGCAAAUCAGUAAGAAAGUUGAAACAACGUAUGAUUUUUCAUGUACCUUUGAUUGAUAUACUGAUGGCAAAAAAAGAAAAAAAGAAAGAAAGAUUUAGUCGACGGACAGGGUAUGAUAAUCAUAUUCAUUUUAUUAGCAUAUAAAUAUUUCUAUUUUCAUGAUUAUUUAUCAAAAGAGUAUAUUAUAAUGUCAAUGUUUGAAAUAAUUUUUUUUUUUUUUUUUUUUUUUGCAAAUAUAGAGAGAGCUAAGAGAACUUGAGAGGGCCGGUGUAAUCAAACUAUUGUGAUGUGCCGUGGGCUUACUUACCAUUCCACAUGGUGCUAUUUUAUGCACCACCAUUCAUUUACACACAGUUUGAUUGGAUUAGAUUAUAUCAAUUAUUUUAAAUAACCUAUUUGGGUUAAACACAAAAAUUGAGGAUCAAUUUUCUUUGGAUUUGUAAGUACUCUAAAGAUGACAAUUUCUAGGAUGGGACAAAAGCACUAUGCCAACAAAUUACAAAGUUAGUAGAUACGGAUUUGUGGUGAUUAAAGCUUGUAUGAUUAUCGUGUUGACCCACUUGACACGAUUGAUAAAUGAAUUGCGUCCAUGUUCAUCUCGUGUCAGUAUUACUUUGACAUGAAAUGAACAUCCGCCCACGAAAUAUCUAAUUAGUUCUUAACCCUGAUGAAUGCAUUGGUUUUUCCUGAUGAAAUAGCGGGUGCAGUCCUAGUGAAAUAUUCUGCAAAAGUGGAUUCUUCCGCAAAGGUUGGCGUCCUGAUUCGCCACAUCCAUUUCGCAGGCGUUUCGUUCAUAAACAGAAGACUUAGGCAAAUGAUUUCAGAGAGUGUGUUGAGCAUUUGAGUGGGGCGGGAAUGGUCUUGUAAGUCUCUAACACAUCGGAACAGAUUGCUUUUGCCCUCGGAAAAAGGAAGAGAAACCGCGUGAUAUGAGCGAAUCGUUUGUGACUUAGGCCGAACUUAUUGAUUCUUUGACGUCAUUCCUAGAAGUCUUCUUCAGAUAUGCGGCCCACCAGAAGAAAAGGGGAAGGGCCCGAGAAAGACGGGCUAAGAAUUGCCAGUUUAAGCUUUUACGUGCUCACCUGCAAAAACAUCGUUAAAGUUCUCCUUAUCUACGUGACGGAUUUGAGUGAUCUGAGCUUCAAUUUUCCUUCUAGGAGUCCAAAAGCCGAACCGUGGUCUUCGAAUUUGCCACAGUCGAUCUCACUGAAGAUCCUCCCCAUGUUGGUUUGGACUCGCUGCCUUCUUCUUGAUCAUCAGCGGUUUGCCUGCCGUAUAUUCCCGGUUGCAAUUUCAAGAAACCAAUGACAUCCAGCCAGGCCACUGCCGGGGCUUCGCUGCACCGGACAAUUCAGUCUUCCGAAUCUGGUUGUUCAUGUUGUAGGCUAAGUGAAUCUCUCCCGCUUCCCGGUUCUGAUCUGAAGGUUUGCCAUGGACGCCUUAAAAAGGUUCGCGUUCCAUGAGCUAUAGGCAGCUACCAACCACUUACAGCGGUGAAAAAACUGUGGGUAGGGCCGGGUUUGGCUGUGUAUAUGAAGGAUUCUUAUGUUCAUUUGUUGACUCUUAGGUUGUUAUAUAGUGAAGUGAGACUUCAUCCAACACCCACGCCGGUAGUUCGCCUGCUGCAUAAAACUGUUCAAUCAUUCAUUAAUCUCCAAAAUGUAGUUCCACUAUUGUUUCCAAAGGGCAUCCUGUUAGGCUAGAUUAAGCAGAAGUAAAAAAUGAAUAAGAAAAUGACGUUUGAAGGGAAAAUCGAUGAGAUAAGCUAGGAUUCAUGGAUUAAAUACAGAAGUUCCCAGGGUAAUUCGGAACGACUAGACCUUUCAUUAGAAAUGCAGGUACAGGAGGGUUUCCUCAUAUGAAGGUUGUAAUCAGUUCCAUUUGAUUACUUCCUUGAUUUGGAAGGGCUUACGGAGCAAUUUUAUGGGUCUAUGCUGGCUAAACUGCAUCCAGAAGCAGCAUAGGAAUUCUAAAUGUUGGACUAAUUUUCUAACAAAAUUCAACGUACCAAGACCGGCGAAGUGAAAGUGACCAGGGUGACUGACUCGUACGAGUCAUCGCUUGGUGGGACAUAACAAGCAUUAUCAACAUUAACGAUAAGAUACUCAACAAAGUGAAGCCUUUUUCUAUUGGCUUUGUUAAGUAUGGACGACCAAAAUGAUUUAAGUCUGAAUAUGCAGACUCCGCUCAGGCUCACCUCUGCAGCAGAAAAUCUUCUUCCUUCCUUCUUCAGUCCCGUUCUUUAAACAAGAAAAAUUUCGUGCAAUCCAAGUUUGGAUUCCGAGGAGUGCUGUGUUUUAGGACAGCAAGAAACUAUGGUCUUCAAGUUUUCCACCUUCAACCUCACCGAAGAUCCCCC
rnacentral:lncRNA from 1 species